UUUCAAAAAUUGAGUUCCCUAAACUCUUAAUUGAUUUUUUUUCAUUGGCAUCAGCCAUCUACAAGUGCGGAGCUAUAUAAUUAGGCGCCCUUUCUUUGUGGUCACAAUCUUAGGUUGUUGUUAACUUAUUUAUAGACAAACUCAAGUAGUCAAUUGUAGUUGUGUAUAAGGCUAUCUCCAAUCUCAAAACUAAAAUCUAAAAGUUAUGAAUUUGUACUCGGCCUAAAAUGUGGUAUUGCAAACAUUCAACAAAGUUAGAAGAGCCUAAAUUAUUAUGAAGAUUUAAAAAAAAAAAAAAGGAAAAUGGUUACGUUAGGCUAUCUUCAAUGUAAAUAUUCAAAGUUGUAAGUUAUAUUUGACUCUAAAUAUGACGGUAUAAUUUAUUCCAUGUCAUAUGCAUACAAAGUCAUUCAAAUUUAAACUUUUAAAUUUAGCUCAUAUAGGAGGAUUGUGUCAAAUUUAGAGUCAAAUAUUGUUUUUCUGUAUUUGAGAGAUUAAGUGUCUAAGAUUAAAGUUAACCUCCACUUUUAACUCUAAAUUUCAUGGCGUAUUGGAGCUAACCUUAUAGAUGAUUAGUGCCGACUAAUUUGUAUUGGCAUUUGAAGAAAACUUUGGCAUAAACCACCACAAGGUUGUUCAGUGGCUGUGGAUGAAUUUCAGACCCGUAUAUUCCACAUAGCGCAUCUUGGGUUCAAUUCAUGACGUUGGUGAAUCGCACGAUAAUGACUAGGGAAAGCUAAAAGGUCUUUGUGAGUCUUCCCGUCUUCCGAAAAUGUGGACUGCUGAGGCGUAACCAUCUGUUGGUCCCCUUUUUAAAAAAAAUAGAAGAAAACUCUGGCAUAGAGAAUCCAUUUUAGGAUAGAGUAAUUACAUAAUAGUGAUAAUUAUCAGUAUAAUGAAUGAUAGUGAAAAUAAAAAAAUAAAAAAAAUUGAUGCGGAUAAUCGAAGAUGGAGGAAAAAACAAGAUAAUCACACAAACAAGAAGAGAGGCCAAAAAGGGAGUUAGUUUAUAAGUCAAUUAAGGGUGAAUAAGCUCAUGGCAUGAGGCCUAAUUACACACACACAUACACACAUUUGCAUGAUAUAUAAAUAUAAACAGCAUAGUGUGUGUAUAUAUAGGACAAAAGGAAGAAAAAGUUCUAUCAAUUUUCAGUUUUGACAAAUGGCCCCAAAAUAAAGUUCUAUCAAUUUUCAGUUUUGACAAAUGGCCCCAAAAUAAAGUAAGGACAACAGGUAGAGACUAUAAGCGCUUGGAGACGGUCACAAAAAUACCUAAUCCAGCCGGCUCAACCCCUUCUAUUCUCCCAUCCCCGUAAAUUGUAACCCCCCCCCCCCCCCCCCCCCCCCCCCCCCCCCCCCCCCCAAGUUCCAAGUUCCAAUCCAACUUUCAAUACUAACAGCAAAUCCAUAAGUGUUAUUUAUUUUUCAUUUCAUUUAUAAAUGGGAAAUUUUGUUUGAACUCAUACAACCUCUUUUUACACCCAACUUACUCUCUACACCUAUAUUAUUUUUAAUUAAAUUAUUAAUAUCUCUUUAAACACAUACUUACUACCUAAACUACCCUCACAAACAUAAUUCAAUAUAUAAAUUUAUUUUUACACCCAUUUAAAAAAUCAAAAAAUCAAAUCAGUGUUUUGAAAAUCAUUCUUAAUCCUUCUUUUUUGCUGAUUUUGCUCAAUCCCAUAUCUGUUUUAAUUAAUCUUUCAUCAAUUGAUUUUGCUUAAUCCCAUAUAGAUGAUUAAAAAAAGGAGUUUUAUCGAAAAGCCAAUGGUACUGUUCACUUUAACGAAAAACCACAUUUUUACAUUAAAAAGUUAAACCUGGUACUAUUCACUUUGCCCUUUAUUUUGUCCUUAUCAUUAAAACUCAAAGUUUUCAAGUCUUUUUCAUUAGUUUUCCUUAAAAAAAAAUUAAAAAAUUGAAAUCCCAUAUGUUUUUAUUUUAUUUUUUGUUCAAUCAGGAUGCAUUUUUUGCAAAUGAUCAAAAUUGGAUCAUAAAAUCCCUCCAAUAUUUAGUACAAAAUCCAAAAGUUUCACAUGGUCCAUUGGAUCAUCUUUUCAUUCAUGUGAUCUGAAGUUUGAAGAACCCUUGGUUUCUUUGAAUCCAUAAACAAUAACAUAAGCAUCUAAAAACUCAGAAGUAACAUCGAGCUAGUACAAUCAUAAUAUUGCUGCACUAAAGGCUUAUGCAUUUUCAGGGAAGAUAAGCAACGUAAUGAGAGUCUCGUAACUAGGAAAGAGAGAAACAAGGUCGGAGCGUUUUUGCCAACUCGAAGUCCUGGAACUGAAAUGCAGGUGCACAAGUACAUCCCACAAAAGAGUAGUGAGAGUCUCGGCAUUCCUUGGAGCAGCUUUGAGCAAUGCCCCAUCUGGUGAAAUGUUGUAGUCCUUUGUUGGAAAGGAACCAAAUUAACCACACAUUUGGAGGCACUGUGUACUGGGCAAGUAACUUGACUUUUUCAUCUUGACCCAACUCCAGAUUAAAACGCCAGGUUUCAGCCAUCGGUAUGCGAUGAAAGCGCGACACGUUCCCAGAUGGCAACAAGAAGUUGAUUGAUUAUUGGUAUAUAUGGGUGUACUGAUAAAUUUUAGUUUUAUUGUUCAUUUCAUUUUGCACUUGACAGUAAUUAUGCAAUAGGAUAAGAGAGACAAUUCAUAUUUAAAGUUUAAAUUGAGGGUAAAAAGAGGUUAUAUGGGUUCAAAUAAAAUUUCUCUUUAUAAAUUUUCGUGCCAAGAAAAUCAUACCAUUAAUUAAUUUUGUGCUCUCAUCCUCCAAUAUAUUAGCACUAGUAUAUCAUUCCUUCCUUCCUUCUCAUAUGACCUAGUCACAUCCCUGAUCUCCCUCCCUCUCUUCUCUCCUUCUCUGUCUAUUUUUCUCUCUUUGCUCUCUUUGGGUAAGAGAAAGAGAGAGAGAGCGCCAGUUUAAUGGCGAAAACCUCACAGAAAAAGCAGAACAGUACUGCUGGAAGCACUAACGACAGCACCACCACCACAACCACCACUAGCAGUACUGCUACAACAACAACAAAAGGCAAGCGGACACAGAAAAGCGUUCGCCGUGACUCUCCGCCCCAGCGGAGCUCCGUCUACCGUGGUGUCACGAGGUUAUAUCAUAUUCAUGGAUACAUGUUAGUUAAAUUAAUUGUAUAGUUUCUACCAUUUUCUUGCUUUUCUUGUUUGGAGUUAGCCGCCGGUUCUUGUUUCAUUUCUGUUUUUAACUUAGGGUGAUAUAUCACUGAUCAAUGUUGAUUAAUGUUUUUGAAUUUAGGCAUCGAUGGACGGGUCGAUUCGAAGCUCAUUUGUGGGAUAAGAAUUGCUGGAAUGAGUCGCAGAACAAGAAAGGAAGACAAGGUUCUUCAUUAAUCUCUUCUUUCCUUGAUUUGGUUUUUAAUUUUUUCCUCCUUAAUUCUUUUUUGUUUUGGGGUUAACAAUUUUCCUUUUCUUGUGUUUUUGGUUUCUUGGUGGUGAUGAUGAUAUUGAUGGAAUUAAUCCCAACUCAAAUGCAGUCUAUCUAGGUCUGUCCCGAUUUGAAAACAAGUUAAUUUUCAUAUUUUUUUUAUUACUGCGUCAUUUUAAUUCAUAAUUUGAUUUAUUGGUUGGGCAAGAAAUGGAUCAAUUUAAUUAUACGUGGGAUAUUUCAUUUUUCUUAGGGGCAUAUGAUGACGAAGAAGCUGCUGGACGUGCUUAUGACUUGGCAGCAUUAAAGUACUGGGGACGAGAUACAAUCCUCAAUUUCCCGGUAUAUUUUCCACCUUACUAAAACUGGAUGGUGGAUCGAUCCAUCUCUGGACUUUGAUCAAAAACAUUUUUUUUAAUUAAUUUGUGAUAUUAUUAACAUGUAUAUGAAAUGGUAUGUAUCCACCUUAAUUCUACAUCUUUGAUUAAUUGUUGUAGUUAUCCACUUAUCAAGAAGAGCUCAUAGAACUGGAGAGCCAGUCGAAAGAAGAAUACAUUGGAUCAUUGCGAAGGUGAUAAUUAAUUAAACUUGUAUCUCGUAUCUACUUUGAUAAAUAUAUAUAAUAGAGCUUUUAAAUUUUUAUUAAUUAACAGGAAAAGUAGUGGAUUUUCCCGCGGGGUUUCAAAGUAUAGAGGCGUGGCAAGGUACUUAUAUUUUGUUAAUUUCAUUAAUUUUUUUCUACAAGCGAUAAGAUAAUUUUAUUAAAUUCAUCUUAACUACUGAGAUGUGUGAUUCAAACUUAGAUGCAUACAGUAGAACACCUUGUUUUAACUAACUUGAUUAAAUUUAUAUAUUUUAAUUCCAAGUUAUUGCUUUAACGAAAUGUUUCUUUCAUACUAAAAUAAUUAAAUGCAAGUCUAUACAAUUCAUAAAAAGUUGAGAUGUGGCUGUCGCAAUGACACAAUCUAUAUGCAUAUAAUUCAAAGUUACCAAAAAGUUGACAUGUGGCCGUCACAAUCUAUACGCAUGUAGGGAGAUAUUGUACAACUGACCUUAUACUUUAUAGAGAUAAAUUUGGUUUUUAAUUUCUUUGAUUUAAUUCAUGUUUGCAGACACCAUCAAAAUGGAAGAUGGGAAGCUCGAAUUGGCAGAGUAUAUGGAAACAAAUACCUUUACCUUGGAACCUACGGUAAUUCCCACUUUUACCAUUUAAUGUUUUUAUUACAAGCGAUAUUAUUACUAAAAGUUAUAUUAAACGAAAAAAUAAAAAAGAGUAAAAUUUGAAUACAGUGGUUUGAAGAGGAACGUUAUAUCCGUUUAGGACGAUACACCACUGCCUUACCGUUUUGAAUUCAAGUCUUCAGCAAUAAAUAUGUUAUUAUUUUUUUCAAAUGUCAAUUAGAAAUAUAUAUAUAUAUAUAUAUAUAUAUAUAUAUAUAUAUAUAGGAUAUUUGUUAAUAAAAAAAAAACCAAGAAAGCAAGAUCUUUGGUUUGCCAAAAUAACUUAACAAAGAAUCUUUUUCUUUAACUUGUGGGUUAACCUAAAUGGAUUUGGAUCUCAUCCGGAUCCAAAUUGUGGGAAUCCUAAAAAAUCUCACAUCUUAACCGUUCAUUGUGUAUCAUACUGUCAGAAAUCAUUUGACUUUUUGUAUUUAAAAUUAAACACAAAUAAUAGUAACGAAAACUAAUCGUAAGAUAUACAAUGAUCGGCUGAGAUAUAAAAAUCCCUAGAAUUCCCACAAUGUGAAUCCGGAAAUGACCUUCUUUCAACCUAAAUCUGGUUACAAGUUUAAAAUGCCACAUGGAAAGAUGCGACUCGUCACACGUCAUUGGUGUACUUCAACUACUAAAGUAAAGUUAUGUAAUUGAAAAAUCUUUUCCCCAUGAAUUCCUAAUAAAAAAACAACACAGGUGGUCCACUCCAAGAUAAUAGGGUAAAGAAAACAAUAAAAAUUACGCAAUCAAAACCAUUUAGUUGGUACGUAGAUCACCUAACCUGAACUGCCCUUUCAAGAUUUUUAUUCAUAUUUUUUCGAAAAUAAUUUCCAGAUCUUUCCACCAAAAUUUGCUAGCAAAUUAAAUUUUUGUAUUUUGUAUUGCUACACCAUUUCUCUUUUUGGAGAGAGAGAGGGGGGCUGUGUAAGCACAACAUUUUUUACUUCUCACACACGACUUGUUAAUUUAUGUUCUUUAAUUUUUUUUUUUCAAUUCAUUUAAUCCGACAGCUCACUCUUAGAAUGAUGUGUGAAAAGUAAAAAUAAGUGUACGGGUAGAUAGCACACCCUUUCUUAUGUACGUACAACCUUUGAAUUUUAUUGUUUACUCUCUAUAUUUUGGCAGCUACACAAGAAGAAGCAGCCAUAGCAUAUGACAUGGCAGCAAUAGAGUACCGUGGACUUAAUGCCGUUACAAACUUUGAUCUUAGCCGUUACAUCAAGUCUCUGUGCCCAGAUAAUACAAACGAGCCUAACGACGCUCAACAAAACCCUAACGGUGACCUCCAUCAAAUGCAAAACCCUAAUGGUGUCCUCAAUCAAAUGCACAACCCUGACUAUAAACCAGAACUGGAGAUCAUGCCUGACCACACGAGUUCGAGUAGCGCUAGUGAGUCAACCGUAGUUUUGCCACGGUCAGAAAAUGGUUCAUCGGCGUCAUCCGCACUAGGGCUCUUGCUACAAUCUCCUAAGUUUAAGGAAAUGCUCGAGAGAUCCUCUGUUACGGAAUGCUCUCCAACUCUUUCAGAGCCGGAAAUACGUAGACGCAUUUUUCCCGAUGACAUUCAAACGUAUUUUGAUUGCCAAGACUUGAACAGCUUUGCGGAAGGAGACGACAUUAUUUUUGGUGACUUACGAUCGUUUACUUCACCUGUUUUUCACUGUGAACUCGAUGCAUGAAGAUGAUCCGCAAAGAAAGUGGAAGACGUAUACUAUUAUAGAAUAAGAUGAGUUUUAUUUGGAUGUUCCCGUGAAUAUGAAGGGACAUCGUGUUCACUGACACAGUAGAAGACGGUAACUUUGAAAGUUUGCUAUUUGUUGUUGUUCAUUGGUCGAUUUUCAUGUAGAUGGGAGUAGAAAUUCAUUUAUCAAAUAUUUUCCUAAUAAGAUAAGUUCAAAAGUUGGCAUUUAAGGGCUAUUUACUUCAUUUCUAUUCUAUAUUAUACCUGCAUGUUGUGGUAGAAGUUUUAGCCAUUUUCAGACGAAAACUUAAACAACAAACAACAAAUAACACCUUUGAUGAUCAAAGAGAUUAGGGCUUAAGUGCGUAGCAUGUUGGAGCAAUAUUAGAAAAUAUGAAAAAAUAACACAAGAAUUUCAAUUAUAUAUGAGAUUAAUAUAAACAAUUAGGGAGAAAGUUAGAAAUACUAACAAACUUGGAGAUUGAGGCUUGCAUAAAUACAAUGUCCUAAAGAUAGAAUUUCGCCCCUAGUCUUGUGCUUGUAGUUCGGUAGGCGUCCAUCUCCCAAGAUUCAACAAUCUAUAAUCCGAAGUCAAAGCACUUCAAUCUUCAGAUUCUGGCGAACUUUAUAUAUUUCGUACUCUCAAGACACAACUCGGAAUUUGACACACGAAGCAUGAGAGAAACAAAGUGGGGAAACCCUAUUUCUCAAGAGUAAAAAUUAACUCUAAUUUUCUAUAUCUAAUACCAAUGGUUUCAUGGGUUUAUAUAGAAUCCAACUUCUAUUUAUUAAAGAGAUGUAACUUUUCAUCUAUAAGUAUACAUUACUUAUCAAGUAUCACCUAAACAACAUAACCUUUCUAAGAAAUUGGUUAACACUAUUUUUCAUUCAAUUAUUAAAAUUAUAUAUUACAAUAUUUCAUAUUAUAAUAUAUAAUUUCCAACAAUCUCCCACAUGACUGAAAAAUCAAGAAGAAUUUGAGAGUACAGGCGGACAAGAGAUGCAUCAGGAAAGGUGUCUUUUGGACUUGAACCUACCCUAGUGAAUACUUAUCGGAUUUACUUGGUGACGCAGGGAAUAUAAAAUCUUGAAUUGUUCACCGCAGUAGUAAACCGAGACAAUAAGCAACACACAUCACUAAUCCUAAUAUUCCAGUUCAUACGGUUGUGUUCAUUUUGGUCCUGAACAAAUCCUGGAUUCAUGAGAGCUUUAGAGAAUUUAGCCAUCUCAUUCUCAUAGAAGCGACCCACUUCUACUCUCACAUAGGUCACCACUGAUUAAGAAUAGUCUGCUCCAUUCCUCUUAUUUAUAAGAUAUCACUGUCAUUAAGUAUAAAUAUACAACCUAAAACGUCUGCAGAUAACACACUGCUUCCAUCAUAGGAAUGAGGUAUAUAGUGUGUUAACUUCUUUGAAUCAUGCCCGACCAGUUUGCCUAUUGAACUUAGACCAUGAGAUCUCCAAUCAACUAAGUUAGGUUUCCACUCGCCUGAUUCAUUAGUUAUGUUGGCUUUAGCCUCAUUCCCCUCGAUGAUCAACUUACUCUCUAUUCUAACCUUUAAUAAUUGGAUCCACCACUAGGUUGACUAUCAUUAAUGGUGUGCACAAUCCAUCUUAUGAAAUUAUAUUUCAUACGAGAGUAGUUGUUUUCCAGUAUUAAGUCCUCGAAACAUAUGUUUGGAAAUUAUAUAUUAUAAUAUGAAAUAUUGUAAUAUAUAAUUUUAAUAAUUGAAUGAAAAAUAGUGUUAACCAAUUUCUUAGAAAGGUUAUGUUGUUUAGGUGAUACUUGAUAAGUGAUGUAUACUUAUAGAUGAAAAGUUACAUCUCUUUAAUAAAUAGAAGUUGGAUUCUAUAUAAACCCAUGAAACCAUUGGUAUUAGAUAUAGAAAAUUUUUACUCUUGAGAAAUAGGGUUUCCCCACUUUGUUUCUCUCAUGCUUCAUGUGUCAAAUUCCGAGUUGUGUCUUGAGAGUACGGAAUAUAUAAAGUUCGCCAGAAUCCGAAGAUUGAAGUGCUUUGACUUAGGAUUAUAGAUUGUUGAAUCUUGGGAGAUUGACGCCUACCGAACUACAAGCACAAGAGUAGGGGCGAAAUUCUAUCUUUAGGACAUCGCAUUUUUUUGGAAAUGUGCCAUAAAACCAAUCAUAUGAUGAUACUUUACGGACAUUUCACAUGUUAAACUAAUCUAGUUUAAUAUCAAGGGCAAAGAUUAUUGUUUUAAGCCGUCUCAUAUAAAUGUUAUAUGCUUAAACGAUAAGUCCAAGGAAUAUGUAAUUAGGAGAAUGUAAUUUAAACAAGUUAGAUUAUGAGACUAUUCUCUUUCGUAUACAUAUCCUAAACGUUCCUGAUCAUAGGAUUACCAAUUGGGCAUUGACAAUCCGUUAAGAUCAGUACAUACUAUGUCUUCUCUCAGGGAGAGUGACUGGUCUCGAGUCAUUGGUGUGAUUAACACCAAGACAAGCAUGUAGAUGCUCAAUAGCGAAUGAGUCUACUGAACACGAUCAACGAGGAGUUCUCAUACUCAUGUCACAUGAGAACUCAUGGUUGGGAUAAUGCAAAGUAGUCAUUUGACCUGAGGCAUCAUAGUUGUCUUGUGGUUAGGUCCUUGAUCUUUGACUAUGUCAAAGUCACUCCAUCCGAGGGUGUCCACGACAUAGUUGGGAUUAAGCCACUUAGCCAUGGAGGCAAGUGAAUGCGCAACAAGGGAUCUCUAACCUUCAAACCGUUUGAGGGAGAAUACUCUAUGAUAUAAUUAAGAAUCUCUGGCCAGAGUAUGAAUGAGAUUUAGGAAGUCGUUCCAAAUCACAUUCAAGGUAAUCAUAUAAGUAAAUGAAUCACAUUGGAUAGUAGACAUGAUUAAACUAUCAAACCAAACAAUGCGAUCAAGAGUAUUGUAUUAGAGAAAGACCGUAUUGCAUUGUAAUCCUAAACUGAAUAGGUUCUCCACCUCUUCUGAUUAGCUUGGGUAACCAUGACAUACUGCUAGGUGUCACUCUUGGUUUGUGGAAGCCCUAAACGUGUAUAAUCACCAAAAGGGAGAAUUGAAAGUAAGUUUCAAUUCACAAUCGAUUUGAAAGAGUUCUAAUCGCCCACUGCCUCGCUAAAAGGAACCUAAUGGAUCGUACACCGUGUAAGGUAGAGAUUGAAGAAACAAUGGAGAUGAGUAAGGAUAAUUAAAUGGUUUAAUUAUUUAUGGCAAGGAUUAAUUAAUAUGUUAAUUAAUCAAACGAAUAAAGUUUGCUAAAGACCUCGGGUUAGUUUUGGGCCGCAAGGCCCAAUGGGAUUUGAAUGUCAAGCCCAUUAACUCAAGUUGUAUGAAAACUUGAAAACACAAAGGGCAUGAAAGCCCAAUGAACCCUUAAUGGCCGGCCAUAUAGAAAGGGGUAUUGAACUUGGCUUAAUUGCAAGUUUGCCACUCCAUUGUGAGGUGGUAUAAAGGCAACUUUAUAAACAUUUCAUCCUUAGGGUUUUCUUUUGGGGAAAGGAUGAGAACACAAUGCUCUCCUUUUCUCUCUAAGAGGUCGGCCCCCUUGGAAGAGAUUAGCUAGCAAUCUCUCAUCCUCUAAGGUCACUCAUCUCUUUUUCAAGUCCCUCCUUGGUGUGGAAAAAUUAGAGGUUUUCAAUUUUGGGAACUUGGAGAAUCCUUUCUACCAUCCUCCUCCAAGAAAUCGAUGGAACUAAGAAGCAAGGAAUGAAGGCCCUCUCCUUGGGUGAUUAGCCUUUGCUUAUGCAAAUAGGAAUCAACAAAGGUAUAAAAUAUCUCAACUCACUUUGUUCUUGAGUUGAGUCUUGAUUCACCUUUCUACUAGGCUUUGAAUUUCAUGGGUAAUGUUUUGUUUUUGAGUGCAUACAAACAUGAUUCCGCCUUUAAAUGUUAAUUGCAUGCCAUAGAUGUUGCUCAAAUGAACAUGUUUUUCACAAAAUCUCCUUCACAUUUAUGCAAGCCUCAAUCUCCAAGUUUGUUAGUUUUUCUAAAUUUCUCCCUAGUUGUUUGUAUUAAUCUCAAAUAUAAUUGAAGUUCUUGUGUUAUUUUUUCAUAUUUUCUAAUAUUGCUCCAACAAUCUAAAGAUAGAAAUCUACUUAUGCAAUAAUUAAUAAAUAUGAAUGUGAAGAAGGUGUUAAGAACAUUGAAGUAAUAACCCUAAAACCUAAUUCAAAGACACUAUGGUUUUCUACGGAAAAAGGCAUGUCAUGGAGGGACUAAUUUUUAUUUGCUUAUUGAUAUAUAACAUAAUCUUUGAUGUUGGCGUUCAAAUUGUAUUGUUAAAUGCAUGAUACAAUUCAAAUAUAUUCAUCUAUAUAUGCACAUGAGCAAUGUUUGCUUGUUGAUUCAAUCUGUGACUUUAAACGUGUUGGGCAACAUAUAGUGUUGUAUUUGAUGUGUAGCCUAGCCCCUUUAUGCUAACAGGGUUUGUAUAAAUUGAUGCAAUUAAGACUUUAAUCUCUAUGAUUUUAGUCGUGAUGACUAGGGUUAGAUGAUGCUUUGGAAUUAUCCAUGGGGAGCGGUGUCCAUGCAACCGCCUGUUUCUUUGAAAGGACAAAAAAUUCAAAAGUAAAAAUUUCUGGGCAAAUGCAACACUUGACGAAAAGGUGUUAGCAGUUUGUAUGGGAAUUGUUUAGGUGUUUUGGACAACAAAAAGGUUCUUGGAAACAGAAUUCCAAGCCAAAUGGUUAAUUUGCACAUAGUUUCUUAUGCAUGUUUGUCCUCUCUCUCUCUCUGAAACAAUGAUAUAUUUGAAUAAUCGAUUGCAAUCUUUCCAUGUUAAUAUAUGAAAAGGUGGGACACCUGUUCUGAAAGUCUUUAUUUCGGAAGUUGUGUUCCUUGGAAGGCAUGCAAACAUGGCUUGUGAAAUCAGUCUGAUAUUUUGUUUCAAAAUUUGGAAAAUAUCUCAGCUGCGUAAGUGCGGUUGGGAAACCUGCAUCGAUUUCUGGAAGUUUUUGGUUUUCCAGAAGAGUUUGUCCGUCAUAAUUGCAAACCAAAAGAUAUUUCUAAGAAAAAUGAAGGACAUACGUGGAAAUGUCAAAGUCUGAGUAACUCUUUACGAAGGGUUGUUUUCAUUGGCCGGUUAAUUGUGUUUCUUGAAUAAUAACUUUUCAGAUCAAAGUUAUGACAUAAAUUUGAUGCGCGAAUGCCUGGGAACGAUCUCUAAAUUUCGGAACGGUACAUUACCAAUAUGUAUGUUUACUAAAAUCAGACAUGGCUACCAUCUGAAUGGACUUCUCCAUUUGCGGUGGCAGCAUAUCGAAAUUUUGGCCAAAGGAAAAACUUGGAUUGAUCAUUGGCCAUAUAUGAAAUCAAAGGCCAAAGUAUAAUUGGAAGGCCUAACCAGGUCUGUAAAGCAGAUUGAUCCAUGCCUUAUUUAAGAACCACAGAUACAUGGUUUUUAUUACAUUUGGGCAAAAGACAACGGAAAAGAGUUUUGCCAUGGCUUAUGAUUUAGUCAUGUUUAGCAAUGAAUUUUACAUUGUUGUCCAUAGCCAAAUCUUAGUGUGUAAACUCAUUUAGGAUGAGUUAUCUUUGUCUUAAAAAGAAGAUAGCAAUUGAAUUGUGGGGGUUCUGCCCAAGGAUGCAAGCCAAGAAGAGUUUUUCUUAUAAUGGCUAGUGAGGCACGACAGAGAUGCAUGGAACAUUGGUAGAGCCUAAAAUAAUUGGCGAUUACUUCUUAAAGAAAGUUUUGUGAUGGCAACUACAAACCAACCGAGUGUCGCCAUAAGCCACAUCUUGAUAAGAAACUUGAGAAAAUCAAUGAAUUUGGAUUAGAGACAUAACAAAAACUAAUGUUGUCUUUAGAGAAGCCAAAAAAAGUGAGAUAAGGCAUUUAAACUAUGGGGUUUUCUUAUAGAAGUGCACCAGAUCAGAUAUGGCUUAUUUAGUAGGCAAAAAUUAAGUUUGACUAUUUUGAUGCGUUAGCCAUGGUUUUAAGGUACUUAAGGUACAUUAUCAUGGAGUGUAAUUUACAAUACGCAAAGUAUAUCCACAUGGGAUAAUCCUAUGCAUGUAUUAGGAUGGUUUGCGAAUAAGGCAGAGAACAAAUUAGAAAGAGUAAUUUGCAUGUAAAGGAGAUAAUAAGUAAUAUAUCUUAUUAUGAAUGACUUUUAAGGUGUGAAGAGGUUAUAGACUUUCUUCCAAAUACCUUAAAUGUGGGGAGUCUAAUUCCUAGCAAAUUACUUAUUAGUAAGUCCGAACAUAUGUUUCGAGGACUUAAUAUUGGAAAACAACUACUCUCGUAUGAAAUAUAAUUUCAUAAGAUGGAUUGUCCACACCAUUAAUUGUAGUCAACCUAGUGGUGGAUCCAAUUAUUAAAGGUUAGACUAGAGAGUAAGUUGAUCAUCGAGGGGAAUAAGGCUAAAGCCAACAUAACUAAUGAAUCAGCCGAGCGGAAACCUAACUUAGUUGAUUGGAGAUCCCAUGGUCUAAGUUCAAUAGGCAAACUGGUUGGGCAUGAUUCAAAGAAGUUAACACACUAUAUACCUCAUUCCUAUGAUGGAAGAAAUGUGAGGUCUGCAGACGUUUUAGGCUGUAUAUUUAUACUUAAUGAUAGUGAUAUCUUAUAAAUAAGAGGAAUAGAGCAGACUAUUCUUAAUCAGUAGUCACCUAUGUGAAAGUAGAAGUGGGUCGCUUCUAUGAGAAUGAGGUGGCUAAAUUCUCUAAAGCUCUCAUGAAUCCGGGAUUUGUUCAGGACCAAAAUGAACACAACCGUAUGAAUUGGAAUAUAUUAGGAUUAGUGAUGUGUGUUGCUUAUUGUCUCGGUUUACUACUGCGGUGAACAGUUCAAUAUUUUAUAUUCAAUGCGUCACCAAAUAAAUCCGAUAAGUAUUCACUAGGGUAGGUUCAAGUCCAAAAGACACCUCUCCCGAUGCAUCUCUUGUCCGCCUGUACUCUCAAAUUCUUCCUAAUUUUUCAUUCAUGUGGAGGAUUGUUGGAAAUUAUAUAUUAUAAUAUGAAAUAUUGUAAUAUAUAAUUUUAAUAAUUGAAUGAAAAAUAGUGUUAACCAAUUUCUUAGAAAGGUUAUGCUGUUUAAGUGAUACUUGAUGAGUGAUGUAUACUUAUAGAUGAAAAGUUACAUCUCUUUAAUAAAUAGAAGUUGGAUUCUAUAUAAACCCAUGAAACCAUUGGUAUUAGAGAUAGAAAAUUAGAGUUAAUUUUUACUCUUGAGAAAUAGGGUUUCCCCACUUUAUUUCUCUUAUUCGUGUGUCAAAUUCCGAGUCGUGUCUUGAGAGUACGAAAUAUAUAAAGUUCGCAAGAGUCCGAAGAUUAAAGUGCUUUGACUUCGGAUUAUAGAUUGUUGAAUCCUGGGAGAUGGACGCCUACCGAACUACAAGCACAAGAGUAGGGGCGAAAUUCUAUCUUUAGGACAUUGCAUUUAUGCAAGCCUCAAUCUCUAAAUUUGUCAGUUAUUCUAACUUUAAUUUUUUAUAUUAAUCUCAUAUAUAUUUGAUGUUGUGAAUUUCUUUAUAAUUAUUAUCAUUGGAAUUAUAUUGUUAUUUAUCAUAUUUUCUAAUAUUGCUCCAACAUAGCAAAAAUUUACUAAAAGUUGGUGGAGAUGAGGUAUUUAUAAGGAGGUGGCCAGCAAUAGGGGUACACGUGGCAGCAUUCGAUUGACUAAGAUGAGUUAUCCAUAGGAUGGAUGUGAAAAGAAUAAUCCCAAAGAUAUUAAUUGUUAAAUAAUAUCUUGGGAUUAUCUUGAAAAUAUCCUUGAUUGGAUAUGAUUGGAAUUCUUGCAUGUUUAAGUUGAUCUUCGAUUAGGAGAAUCUUAAAGGUAGAUUUGGUAAUUAAUUCUAUCUUUAGUGCUUUGACUUUACUCCUUGCCACGAGUAAGGAGCUUGAUGAUUUCCUAGUGAGCUGCUCUAGCCUAUAAGGAUGUUGAACUAUGUGUGGGAAAAGAUUCAAGUGUCGUCUUCAAAAUUUUUGAAAUUAUAUUUUAAUCCACACGUAUCUUUCAUAUAUAUAAGGAGUGCACUUACAUGAAUGAACAAAACUUUCAUUCUUUGAAACAACUAUGUUUCGUGUUUGACAUGCACUAGAUAACUGAUUCAAGUGUUUUACUACAAAUCAUUUUUAUAUACAUUUUGGUGUGAAUUCAAUCUCACUGAUCCUUCUUCUAAUAAUUAACAGUUUAUGUCAUUAAUAUCCCUCUGUCUAUGAGAAAAACUCACUUCUCUGUGUGAUCUUAUUGUCCCUCAGUAGGGCCCAAUGUACGGCCGAAUAGUAACAUAGGGGGUAUUUCAAGGAAAGGGAUCCUCCUGGAUCCCUUCCUAAUCCACCAAGUUUGGAGAUCCAGGCCAUUGAAAUUUGAUCUAAUGGCUAAAGUUAUUAUAACUUUUAAAGUGGGUCCCUGUUUGUAGCCGUUUGAUCAAAUUUCAAUUAUUUGAAUUCCCAAACUUGGUGGAUUAGAAGAAAGGGAUCCUCCCUUUCCUUAUUUCAGGUCGUUAGUAGUUGGUAGCUGCCAAUAAAAAAUUUUCUUAAAAAGUUAAGUUGGUGGUAAACCCUUGACAAGAAAAGUUUGAUGGCAAACCCAUAUGACUAACUAGGUGGGAGGUUUGUCACAGAGAGAGAGAGAGAGAGAGAGAGAGAGAGAGAGAGAGAGAGAGAGAGAGAGAGAGAGAGAGAGAGAGAGAGAAAGAAGAAAGGGAUCCUCCCUUUCCUUAUUUCAGGUCGUUAGUAGUUGGUAGCUGCCAAUAAAAAAUUUUCUUAAAAAGUUAAGUUGGUGGUAAACCCUUGACAAGAAAAGUUUGAUGGCAAACCCAUAUGACUAACUAGGUGGGAGGUUUGUCACAGAGAGAGAGAGAGAGAGAGAGAGAGAGAGAGAGAGAUUCUCAUUUUUUAAUAAAAUUGUGAUUAGUUGUGGAGUUCACAUUACAUCCAAUUUUAACGAUCCGAACCGUCUAUUUUUCAAGUUGCACCUCAUAGAUCAUCCUUGCAAAAUAUUAGCCAAAUUAGAAAUGUUUAAGACAUCUAAUUGUGUUCAAAGAAAUUAAUGAAUACUUUGUUAUAUAAGAAACAAUGAAAUUUUAUCUUGAUAAUUAAAUAGGCAAAUGGUUUCGGAUUGAAUUGAAUUUUUGCAAGGAUGAUCUAUGAAUCGAGACUUACAAAAUAGACGGUUUUGAUCAUUGAAGUUCGAUGUAGAGUGAGGCCCACACCUAAUUCCCAUUUUUUUUUCAAAAAAUGGGGAUCUUUUUGCAUAAAAGGGGCAUAUAUAUAUAUAGUUAGGACUCGGGAUACACAUUUUGAAACACAUUUUUGUAGGGUUCACUCAGUAAUGUUUAUCUUUUAUAUCUUACCUCAAUGGUCAAGUCUACCAAAAAUCACUCAAAUACAAAACGAUAUGACCAUUGGAUUAAAUUUGAUGUUUCUUUGUAGAAUCGUAUUCGUUCAUUUUCUUCAUUACAAAUGAAUGCCUUAAUGAUAUUGUAUUUGUCUAAUUUUUUGCAAGUAUAUGAUCUAUAAGUAAUGUAUUAAAAUAUAGAUAGUUCAGUUCGUUGAAAUACAUUACGAAAUGAACCCUACAAAAUAAGUGUCAAAAGCUUGUGUUUCCGGAUCCUAACACACACACACACACACACACACAUAUAUAUAUAUAUAUAUAUACAGAGAGCUUAAGGGGAGGGAUCCCCAUUUUUUCAAAAAAAAUGGGGACACGCUCCCCACCGUUAGAUUGACUUUAAUGAAAUUGUGUGGUUGAGAUUAAAACACAGGCCACAGAAUCUCAACCACAUGAUUUCAUUAAAGUCAAAUCCAACGGUAGGGAGCGUAUCCCCAUUUUUUUUUAAAAAUGGGGAUCCCUCCCCUUAAGCAAUUCCUAUAUAUAUAUAUAUAUAUAUAUAUAUAUAUAUAUAUAUAUUUAAUUAUAUGACUUCACGCACGCGCGCGCACACAUAUAUAUAUAUAUUUAAUUAUAUGACUUGGCUAUAGUAAAUGCUUUGACUUAUUCAUUUAACAUCUAAUGGUAUCAGAACGAGAGAACAUCAAAUCUAAUCGUAUCUGAUGUUAAAUGAUGAAUGUAUUAAGUGAACACGUGGACGGGAGUUAGUCCUCACAAUUUGUAUGGUUAAUUUAAAUAAUGUAGAAGUUUAGGCGUUAAGCAGAAUAACUAGAUUAAUGCGAGUCGGUUUAUAGUCGGAUAUAUAGUUGAGCAGAUUCAAAAUUGACCCAAUUUAUCAUUUAAUUUGCAGUUGGAUGUCUAUGGUUGAGAAGUGAUCUUAAGGUCCAAGUACAAGGAUCCUGUUCUUUUGUUUGUCUUAGCAUUUGGUUUAACUUUGAUUAAGUUUUAGUUUACAAACGCAUAUACGUGUGGCAAUUGACUUUUUAUAUUGUUUUUAUGUAAAAAAUUAAUUUAUAUUUUUUUUAAAUUAUUAAAGUUCAAAGAAGAAAGGAAGUAAAGGCAAGAAAGCACCCACUAACGUUGGAGUUUUUUUUUUUUUUUCUAUAAUUUUAAUUUUAAAUUCAUUCAAAAUUAAAAUGUGGUGAAUUACUUUAGCUCCUUUUGGUUCAAUUGUAAUUUUUGAAAUUUUUAAAAAGCAAUUUAUGGUAUUUUAAAUGUUUCACAAAGAUGCUCACUUUAUAUAUAAUAUUACAUAUAUACAUCAUUGCAACCCAAAAAAAGUAAUAGUAUUUAAUGUGAAUUGCCAUUUUUGUAAGGAGAUUUGAAAUAAAACUUAUUAGGUUGGUUGGUAAAGCAAAUUGCCUCCAAGAGGGUGUAUAUGUAUUAUACCAUCUCAAGUCGGCGGGUGCGAUGGUUGUGUGUAGUGUGUAGGCAGGGAUGAAUUCUAUACAUAUGCGAGUGGAGUGGACGAAAGCUAGCCAAGGAUGAUGGAUCAUCUCCACCACUCCUAUCUUUUGGACUUUUAGUACCUUAAUUUUGACUUGAUGCAUGCACCAAUCGAAUUAGAGAAUAAAUGAUACUAAAUUGUCGAAUUUUAUGUCAUAUGUACAAGUUGUACUUGUGUUGCUUCUUAAAAAUUACAAAAUUUAUGAGGCGUAUAGACCGAAUGACUAAGAACUGAUUACUAUUUUCGAUGACUUGAAUGCUAAUGCGGGCUUGCCAAUUCGUCACCGAGUUCAGCCAGGAGAAUAACUUGAAUCUGGUGAUGUGAUGAACUAAUUUCUGACUCGAGUGACUCCGGCUGAAGAUGAAAUACUCUCAGCCUGAGUUUUAAAACAUGAAGACAAAGUUAUGCAAAUCACUCCUAAUUAUCAACAAUAACCCAUUUCCCAACCCUAAAUCAGCUACCACAAUUAUCGCUAAGAGAAACCCAACAGACACCCAAAAAUUAGCCGUAGAACAGAAGCCAUCUCGGCGGCGCGAGAGCACUGCUAUCUGAAACCCUAGAAACUCUAGAGCCGUUUUUUCGGGUUCCAUUUUCUUUUCUUUCUUACGGAAUCAAAACCAUAUGUGGUUUCUAAAAAACAACCCUAAUUCAUGUCUCUCCUAUGGGUGACCAUAAGGCCUUUUUGCCCUUAAUUGGGCCUAUCUAAUCCUUUAGCCAUCUUUAAUUUACGUCUUCUAUAUGGGUGUCGGCCUAAUGGGCCCACUUGAGUUACCAAAAUCGGUUUAACCAAAAUUAUUGGCUAGUUAACAGUGGUUUUGCAAUAUUAUUAUUGUAGCCCAAGACCGCACACCAACCAUUAAGAAGAACAAACCAAAAAAUAGAAGGAACAAAAACUACGUAGAAUUGAAAUCAAAUCAUAACUUAAUAAGCCAACAACAAUUUAGCAAACAUAAUCUAAAUGGUUAAUAGUUUACAAACUCAAAAGUCUAACUCUUAUAAUUGUCUAAAUCCAAUGCAACAACCAAUGCAAAAGCAAAAACAAAAAAGUCAAAAGUCAAAAGUAUGGUUCUAAUUAUAGGAUCCCCUAAUUGCAAUCUGGCAUAGUAGGGCCAACAUCUGGCGUGGUGGCAAGGGAGGUGUUGGUUCAUUGAAUAAAAGAUGAAAACUGUGAGAGCAAGGGUGCGAGAAGUCGUGCAAGAGUUAAAAAAAAAGAAGUGAGGAGUCGUGAGUGGGUUUUUGUUUUCUAAGCCAUAAAACUUAGGAGUUGUGCAUGUAAAAAUACCUAUAAUUUAUAUUGCAAUCUGGCAUAGUAGGGCCAACAUCUGGCGUGGUGGCAAGGGAGGUGUUGGUUCAUUGAAUAAAAGAUGAAAACUGUGAGAGCAAGGGUGCGAGAAGUCGUGCAAGAGUUAAAAAAAAAGAAGUGAGGAGUCGUGAGUGGGUUUUUGUUUUCUAAGCCAUAAAACUUAGGAGUUGUGCAUGUAAAAAUACCUAUAAUUUAUAUAUAUAUAUAUAUAUAUAUAUAUAUAUAUAUAUAGAUAUACACACACAUACAAGCCCAUUUAUGCAAAGGGAUCCCUAUUUUUUUCAAAAAAUGGGGAUUAGGUGUGAGGCUCACUUCACAUCAAACUUCAAUGAUCCGAACUGUUUAUUUUGUAAGUCUUAAUUCAUAGAUCAUCCCUGCAAAAAUUCAAUUCAAUCCGAAACCAUUUGCCUAUUUAAUUAUCAAGAUAAAAUUUCAUUAUUUCUUAUAUAACAAAGUAUUCGUUAAUUUCUUUGAACCCAAUUAGAUGUCUUAAACAUUUCUGAUUUGGCUAAUAUUUUGCAAUGAUGAUCUAUGAGGUGCAACUUGAAAAAUAGACGUUCGGAUCGUUAAAGUUCGAUGUAGUGUGGACCCCACAACUAAUCCCCAUUUUUAUAAAAAAAAAUAGGGAUCCCUUCCCUGAAAAAUUUCCUAUAUAUAUAGACCUAUGCAAUUCUAACAGUUAAAAUGGGUUUGAUCUAAGGGUUUAUGUAUGGGAUAGGAUCAAGGGACAAAGAUGUUGACAAAUACUUUUACACUCCAUUUAAACCCUUUAUAUCAAACCCAUUUUAACGGUUAGAAUUGCAUUGGUCUAUUAACUAUUUUGAAAUAAGAAAGGAAACUAUACAAAUAUACCUUUGCAAUAAUGAAAAUUAUUAUGAUAAUAUUUUGAUUUCUCUCUUCUCAUCUCUUCAAAUUCGAAAAUAAAAACGGUUUAUUCCUACCUAGUCCUUCUGAUAGUGUGGAGAAGAAGGAAGCAAUAGGAAAAGAGUCCAAAUGACAUGGGAUUGAACUUGUAUGAUUCAUGGAGUUCUUGUAGUCACAUAUCCUAUUUUCUUUUAUAAUCUUUAGAUAUUUGAGGAUAAAUAAAAGAUUAAAUUUUGGAUUACAAACACCAAAAAUAGUUUUUUAUUUUAGAACACGUUUGGAAUUGGGGUGAAAUGGAGAAAUUACAGGCACCAUCCCCAUGAACUCAAACAACACCAGAACGCUCCAAAUCAAACUAAUGAUCUUCACCUGUAUUUAGAUCAACUAUGCAUACUUUGUUUUUCUCAAAGGAAGUUGCCACUUGCAAACCAGUAGGUCGAAGUAAAUUCUAUAUACUUUGCUGUUGAAUGUAACAUCCCACAUCACCCAGGGGAGUGAUCCUUAAAUGUAUAUUCUCAUCCCUACCUAGCAUGAGGCAUUUUGGGAGCUCACUGGCUUCAAGUUCCGUAGGAACUCCGAAGUUAAGCGAGAAGGAAGCUAGAGCACUCUCAGGAUGGGUGACCCACUGGGAAGUUGCUCGUGAGUUCCCAAAAACAAAACCGUGAGGGAAUGGUAAGCCCAAAGCGGACAAUAUCAUGUUACGGUGGUGGAACGGGCCCGGAAUGUGACAAAUUAAAUGGUAAGCCCAAAGCGGACAAUAUCGUGUUACGGUGGUGGAAUGGGCCUGGGAUGUGGUGGACCCAGGCCGGGAUGUGACAAAUGGUAUCAAAGCCAAUCCCUAGCUGGAAGUGUGCCGACAAGGACGUCGGGCCCCUAAGGGGGGUGGAUUGUAACAUCCCACAUCGCCUAGGGGAGUGAUCAUUAAAUGUAUAUUCCUAUCCCUACCUAGCACGAGGCCUUUUGGGAGCUCACUGGCUUCGGGGUUCCGUAAGAACUCCGAAGUUAAGCGAGAAGAAGGCCAGAGCACUCCUAGGAUGGGUGACCCACUAGGAAGUUGCUCGUGAGUUCCCAAAAACAAAACCGUGAGGGAAUGGUAAGCCCAAAGCGGACAAUAUCGUCCUCGGUGGUGGAACGGGCCCGGGAUGUGGUGGACCCGGGUCGGGAUGUGACAAAUGGUAUCAGAACCAAUCCAUGGCCGGAAGUGUGCCGACGAGGAUGUCGGGCCCCUAAGGGGGGUGGAUUGUAACAUCCCACAUCACCUAGAGGAGUGAUCCUUAAAUCUAUAUUCCCAUCCCUACCUAGCAUAAGGCCUUUUGGGAGCUCACUGGCUUCGGGCUUCAUAUAAACUCCAAAGUUAAGCGAGAAGGAGGCCAAAGCACUCCUAGGAUGGGUGACCCACUGGGAAGUUGCUCGUGAGUUUCCAAAAAUAAAACUGUAAGGGAAUGGUAAGCCCAAAGCGAACAAUAUCGUACUAUGGUUUGUGCCGACGAGGACGUCGGGCCCCUAAUGGGGUGGAUUGUAACAUCCCACAUCAGCCAGAGGAGUGAUCCUUAAAUGUAUAUUCCCAUCCCUACCUAGCACGAGGCCUUUUGGGAGCUCACUAGCUUCGGGUUCCAUCGGAACUUCGAAAUUAAGCGAGAAGGUGGCCAAAACACUCCCAUGAUGGGUGAUUCAUUGGGAAGUUGCUUGUGAGUUCCCAGAAACAAAACCGUGAGGGCGUGGUCGGGGCCCAAAGCGGACAAUAUCGUGCUACGGUGGUGGAGCGGGCCCGGGAAGUGGUAUGCCCCGGGCCGGGAUGUGACACUGAAUGUAAAAGAUUUAAUGGCGUUAAAUCUUUUAAGAUAUCUAGAGGAGAGAGAAACACCAAUAAUAAUUUUUUACAAUUAAUGAAUUUAAUUUCCUUUCAUAUUACAAAUUGAAUUAGUAAAUAAACCAGUACAAUCUUAACCAUUAAAAUAGCUUUAAUCUAAAGGCUCAAAAGAAGUGUAAAAAAAUUUGUAAAAAAAAUUUGUCCCUUGAUCAUAUCCCUAUAUAUAUUGGUGAGUACGGUAUACCGCUAGUAUACAAAAUUCAAUACCAAAGCCAUGCCAUUAAUAGUUAGUUUGGUAUAAUGCCAAAAUUUAUCAUACCAAUAUGAACCGACAAGUACGGUUCAAUCGGUAUGUCGUUUUAUGGCAAUAUUUUCCACCCCUAUUAACCACAUUAAUUAUUCCAUCGUUGUAUAACCUUAUAAUCCUUGAUUCUAGAGUAGGGUGUGUGAUCCGUUAGAUUCUAAUUGACGAGGUAGUAAGAUGAGGACCUCACUAACUAUAAGUGAUGCCUAGCCGCAUGUCAUAAGGACAAGGAUCCUCUUCAGAUCCUCUUUGUGGGGAUCCGGGAAUCAAUCAAUAUUGUUCGUUCAUCGUACAUCGUGCUAUCAAUUUUCAUUAAGUAGUAUUUAUAUUCAAUUUUAAAUUCAAAAUUCAAAAUUCAAAAUAAUUUUUAACCGCACAAUGUAUGAUGGACGAACAUGAUUGAUUGGUCCUCCGGAUGCCCACAAAAAGGAUCCGAAGAUGAUCAUAUUCCAUGUCACAACACCCAAGGAAGGUUCUAAAAAACGCUAGGCUCUACUUGGGUGGCGAGCAAGGGCCUAGCACCUAGGCACCUAGGCGGGGUCUAGACGGAUUUAUAUAACUUUAUUAUAUAUUUUGUAAAUAAGUGCCUAUUCACACUUAAAAAAAAAAUACUUGCAUGGAUAAUAAAAGAAUGAUAUAAUGCAAAAAUAAAAGUAGAAGAAUACAAAAAGUACAUCAAUCCAACAAGUUCAAUAUUUAAAAAAUAGUAAGCAUAUAAUCAUAAUGAAGAGUAUUCUUGAAUGAUAGACUAAAUUUUUCUUAUUUGAUCUUUGCAUUGGAUUGGACAAAGACUAAAUUAUUUAACCUUGUUGUAUCUAGUUUAUUUCUUUUCUUUGUAUGUAUCCCCUCAAAAGUACUCCAAUUCAUUUACAAUUGGAUGAACUUGUAGUCAAUCCAUCAUUUGCAAAUUAGGUACAUCAUUUCCAUAAGUAUAUCACCAUGACACUAAAAAAGAAAAAAGCACACAAUUAAUAAUAUAAAAAAAAAAACCAAACCGCCUAGGACCGCCUAGGUGCCGCCUAGCCCACCACCUAGGACCACCUAGCCCACCUAGGUGCCACCUAGGACCGCUUAGCUCCAGACUGAUUUUUCGAAACUAUUUGUUUUAAAUCACGGCAAGCCUUCACUACCUAGGUUGAUUUUUCGAACACUGCACCCAAGUCAAUAUAGAAAACAUAGAGGAUAACUUAUUCCGUUACAAUUACAAUGCAAUACAAUUCCUCUCUAAUUGCAAUGCCCUUAGUCAUUUGGAUAAGCUAUUUCAAGUCACUUUGCCUAAAUGACAUUUCAUUGGUUUGUUCAAUUAUAUGUUUUGGCCAAAGACUUCUAAAUCAUCCCAAAAGAGCAUUCCUCUUGCAUUGUGAAGGUUAGAGAUUCCUUGUUAUACACUCACCUACCUCCAUAAAUAGAAUAAUGACCCGAGCCAUGCACUCGAUUACCCUAAGGGGUGUUAUGCACAUCUCAAAUUCAUUGAGUUGUCCAUAAGAUAACAGUGACACAUCAGGUCCAAGGAUUAUUUUUGCAAUACUAAAAUCGUUAACUCUUAUUGACAUGAAUGUGCAUCUAGUAUACACCUAUAAGAAUUAGUGUCUUGACACAUUCAGUGAACUCAAUCUCCAUUUGGACACCUAUGUAUUUGUUUUAGUGUCCCACACGACAUGAGACAUGUCAUCAUAAACAUCAUACAUACUAUUCUUAACAGAUAGUCAAAGGCCAAUUAACAAUCUUAUGACUAAAAACAUUAAGAAUAUUUAAGUCAUUUGGGAUUGGUCUCAAUAACCUAAAUCUAUUAGUUUGCGACCCCAAUUUUAAAUAACCAAUAUUGUUUUAGACUUGUAUUGUUUUAGUUAAUCACAAUUAGUUAACAAACAACAAUCUUUGCCCGUUAUAUUAAAACUGAAUAAACUUGUCUUAAUACACUAGGUAAUUUCCAUAAACUAUUUACUCCUAAUUGGAUUUAUAGGCAUACUUCUAACAAAAACACUAACAGCUUGUGAAGAUUGCUCAUGUGUGUUGAGGAAAAACUUAAGAGUACACAACUCUAACACAAGUGUUGGAGAGGCAACACAAGUAAACAAAUUACUUGUAUUACACACACAAAAUAUUACAACACACUUUUAAGGACACUCUCUCACUAGAACACUCACACUCCUACAAGACUACCCUUACUUCUCACUCUCACUUGGUUGGUUGCUUGGUUACAAGCUUACUUGGUUUUCUUGGUUUGUUUUCUUACUUGAUUACAACACCACACUAGCAUACAUAUUUAUAGGCAAUGGUUGCCGACUUGGACAUUUGCUAGAUUAUUCUAGCAACUAAUUAUGCACACACACACACCGACAUAUGGCUAAUAGCCAUAUAAUAUGUGAGGGUUCUAGGCCGGACAAGGAUUGUCUGCCCUCCUAGUUGUGGUGCCCUUCCAUGCCCUCCUAUUUUGUGCGGUCACGAUUAAGCCACGUCAAUAUUUUAUAUUAAUUUUUUAAUAAGAUAAUAAGACAAAAAAUAAUAAAAAUAUAAAAUAUUAACGUGGCUUAACUGUGACCGCACAAAAUAGGAGGGCAUGGAAGGGCACCACAACUAGGAGGGCAGACAAUCCAAGUCCCUAGGCUUUUCUACAUACAACCCAUUUUUCUAGAUUUUCUUAAGCCUAAGGCUGUGGGCUUGUCUUUUCCCACCAAUUGCUGCACUUUGCUAGAGUUUUCUAGCAUUUUCUCAUUCAUGAUUCCAAAUGGGCUGGCCCUUUAUUGGGCUGGUGUUGUACUUUCAACAAUGUGUAGUGAUUAAUAUUGAACAAUGGAAGGUUGAUUGGAAAAAGAAAUACAUGCGUUCAGAGGUUGAACUACAAAACGCAGUGGCAGAUAAUUUGCUCUAUACAGUGCAGCAAAGCUUUGAAUCAAUAGAAGCCAAACAUAUGCAAAACGCUUGGUAGCCUGUCAAAGGAUAUCUGUAAUCCAUCACAUACUUCAAUUUCCCGACCCUUCCGAGCUGCAGAAUUGUCUGCUUUCCGUUUUCCUGACAAACAUAUGUGUAUAUACAAGUUAGAAUCCCAUAGUCAUGUAAGAUUAAUUAAACACUGGUUCUCUCAUCCCGUUAUCAUAACAAAUUCUAACUGAUGAUCACGUUGUUUCCACAGACAAUACGGCACUUAAACAUAUACGUGUUUCAGAUAAGCCUGAGUAAGACUUUUGGAAUCACCAUUGUUCAUAGUAGUUACCUCCAGUGUCAGUUGGAAAUUCUUGACUGAACUUCGGAUUCUAAGACCCGCUCUUCCCCUAUCUCUAAAGUCUAACUCAUAUUGCUUUGAAAUCUGGAUGAAAACAGAAUUCCGUUAAUGGAGAUGAGAACAAUUAAAGCAAGGAAAAUUCCUACAGGGUCAGGUAAUAGGCCUACUUUAUUGUAAUGGGGAACUCGUGAGAAUAGCUGAUGGACUUUGUCAAGCUUCCCUUCCCAGUCCUUUGGCAGUCCCUUAAUGUGUUGUACCUGCAAGAGAAGAAUGUGUACCACGCAAGCUCAAAAGUUGACCCAAAAACUGGAUUUCUGAAUGCAACUUACAUUACCAGACACUGAGAAAAAUAACAUAUUCACUAGAAGAACCUGGUCUAUACAAGUUAUCGAUGUAAUGUAAGAAUUAACCUAAGACGUCUUAGAAACUGUUAAGAUCACCUGCGUUGUGUUUUUUAACUGCAUGGAUUGGUGCUUGGGUAUAUAUGCCCUCAUACGUCUGUAACUUCCUGUCCAGCUCGAGAUUGUUGGCGUGAACCUGUAGAGACAAAGAGCAACCAUUACAAAUUGAGGAGGCAGAUUGCGUGCGCAUGUGUGAGCGAGAGAAGGAGGCUUACGCUACAACAGCAAGUGACUUAGCCUCUUUGCUCAAGGAAUUGGGACGACCACCCUGCAAUUAUCAACCAAAUGACAUCAAAUGUCCAAAGAAAUCAGAUUACGAUUUCUACAAGUAAUAAUAAUUCAUAGAGUUCAUUUUAAACCUGAUCCCAUAUGUGGUAUUUUGAACCCAUGAGGUUAGCGUUUACAAUCCCAAUAAAACUAUCAUCUGAAUGAGACAUUAUUCCCUUCACAUUCUGAGCAAUAGUUAACUCAGAUUUCCCGUUCCGCCGCGUAUGGUGAGCAAUAGCUAGUUUCCGGUCCUGCCUUCCCUUGCCUUCCUGAAAUAUCGCAAUACCACACCAAUCUAACAAGUUAUAACAGAAAACAUGGAGCUUCAAACUACUGCAACACAAACAGCAAUAGAGCAGGGCGGGCAGGUCACGGGUGAAGCCGUGAAGACUAUGUUAGAAUCAAACUAACAAUGCAUAUUUGAUUCAUAUGUCGAAAAGAAACCCCUGAUAGUCCAGUAACAAACAUCUCUGUGCUUUCGCAAAUUUGUUUCGCAAUCUUGGGAAUAACAGUAUUCUAACAUUGCCUCUACCUUCUAAAUACAGGAAUGACUGACCAGCAUUACGCGCAGCAGAAGAGUUGUACAACACAACUACGUCAUUGGCUAAAUCAAACAUGCCAUAAGCUAUUCAAAGUUCCCCAAAAUAUGGACAACAUUCUUACAUUGGUAUAAAGAGAAUAGAGAGUGCCCACAUCUAAUCCUUCUGGGGUUGCUUCCUUCACUAUAACACAUGUGCACCUUCCGACAUCCAUUGGCAAUGGCCUGCAAAGCAAUGACCUAAAAAUACCCACCAAAUAAAUUACAAGUUUAGUAAAUAUCUUUUCAAAGAACCAAAAAUUUCAUCUUUUUAGCAAAAGCAAAACUUUUGGUACAAGCGAUAUUGGGGAGGUGGUGUUUCGAACUAGGAACCUCGGAUGCAAGGCAGAAUGCUCUAAAUAAAUCGCAUAAGCAAAUUGGGCAGAGAACUCACUUGUUAGGCAGUGUAGACCAAGAUGAGGCAGGGGCAGCCUCAGAAUCGGAGUAGUCCCAGAUCUUCAAAGAGCUCGAGUUGUCGGACCCUUUGCUGGGUGGGUCCCACAUUGUGGAUAUGGGUCCACCAAAGAGUGCCUUCUCAGGCUCAUUCGCCUGCAUACAGAACUGAAGAGAUGAGGGCUUGAGGGCCCUGCAGCCAGUGGACAGAGACUUCAAAUUCCUCGGCUUCAAUGGCUGCAUCGCAAAAGAGGAAGACCCGUUUUCUUGUGCGACCAAAUUCUCCUUGUCGCUGCCGGGCACGGCCUGCUGUGGCCUGUUGGGCAUUGCGUUCUCCUUGUUGUCGUUUAAGGGUGAUUGGUUCGGGUUCGAGUUGUCGUUCUUGGAGGUGAAGGCGAUGCCUUCGCUGUAGCUGCGGCUGUGUUUCUGGUCUGUGAGGGGAUUGACAUAGAGAGAGUUGUAUGAGGAUUGCCGUGGAAUUAAUGUGGUUUUCUUGCAACCAUCCAUCAUCAUGGUUCAGAGAGAGAGAGAUUUGAAUGAUGUUGUAGAGAAGAGAGGGAGAAUUUGAAUCUUCACUUGAAUGAACAAGUACAAAAAGCUGGGGUUUUUUUACUGAAUAGUAGGUGAGUUAGUGUGAUAGUGGGUACAGUUCCAGAUGUGUCAAAAUUUAUGUAAAACAGAUGAGAAUCAUCUCCGGAUCGUUUUGUGUGGAUUGUGGAAAUCAUUUUAUCGUGUAUGUUCAUCGUAUAUCGUGCGGUCAAUUUUUAUCAAGUAUUGUUUGUGGUUAAUUUUAAAUAAAAUAAUUUCUAACCACAAAAUGAUAAAUGAACAGACACGAUAAAGAGAUUCUCGAAAUCCUCUCAAACAGAAUCAGAAUAGGAUAGGAUCCAAUUCCAUGCAAAACAACACCCAGCUCUGUUCUGCUACAUUUGCAUAAAAAUGGUGGGGCUCUCUCUGGCUUUCUUUACCAUUUUUUGGUAAAGUAGUGGGAUCAAGGAUGUUUGAAUUUGAAUAAGCAUUGGAAACUGCGGAGUGUUUUUUUGUGUUUUGCCGAGGAAAGGAAUUAGGAUGUUUUCAUCUGUCUCCGGUUUAGUGGGUUAAACGGUAACUAUUCAAAUUAUGUUGACCUUUUGUCAGUUUGUGUGUGUAAUGGGAGACUCGAUAAACGAAGUCUAGGGGAAAUCACAAUGGGCGGGAGACAUGUUUGAAUUAAACUUGAUAAACAGAUUGUGUUUAGUUCGAUUUUCAUAAAAGGUGAAUUCAAACUACAUUAUUGCUAGUACAAUGUGAGACUUGACCAAUUCUUCUAUUUUUUUAGUGUAGAUAAUAUCGUUAAAAAUUAAAUAAAUGUGGUAGGCCUAAUUUGCUAACGGUAUUUAGGACUAGAGAGGGAGAGGGUUGGCGGCAAGAGAAGGAGAAAGAGAGAUGCAAUUAUAAGGUGUGUGUUGUAUCACCCCAUUGUGUUUUUAUUUAUAAUAGUAUAAUAAGUUAAAUCCUUACCGUAAUAGGAUUACAACUCUAAUAGGAUAAUAUAUACUAAAGAGAAUAUUCCAAGAUACCCUAAAUACAUUAGGAUUUACACAAUUACAUUCCUAGUCUAAUAUGACUUCAACACUCCCCAUUGAGUGUGUAAAUACUAAAACAAAACAUCGCAUUAGGUCUUCAACAAUUUAUGCAUACCGAUUCUUUGGACGAACUUCUGAAAGUAUACUUGGGCAAUGAUUUUGUGAAUAGAUCGGCCAGGUUGUCCUGUGUAUGGAUUUGCUUGACUUCAAUGUUCUGAUGUUGUUGUUGCUGGUGAGAAUAAUAGAACUUCGACACUAUGUGAUUGAUAGAUUUUGAAGGGUUUUAUUGCAAAAAAAAACAUGCAAUGUUCCUCAACCUUCAUUUUGUAUAUCCUUAAACAUUUCGUAUUUUAUAGUGAUGUACUAAUAUUUUUUCAUUAGGAUCUUAUUUUGGGUAUGGAAUACUUGAAAGGAAAAUAUUUUUUUUUUAUGUUUUGAAGUAAUAUUUAUAUGACAAUGUGGUAUGCAUAUACUAAUUUAGUAUUAUGUUUUCCAUUUUUUGAGUCAAAUUAUGUUUUUCAUUUUCAUUAGUUAUUGGUUUAAAAUAUAUUUUCUUUAACCGGUAACAGGUUGGGUCAUAUUACCUUAAAAUAUCAAUAAGUCGAUUUUGGGUCAAGUUAUAUUUCCCGUUUACUUUAAAGGAUGUUACACGACACGACUCAUUAAAAUAUCGGCUAUGUUACAAAAACGCAUGAAUGAAAAGGUCUAAUUCCAACCAAUACCAAAUAAUGUAUCUAUUGGUAACAAAAUGCUUGUAGGCAUUGGUACAAAGUAAAUAGCUGUUUUGGUUGGAUUGUUUUGAAUGGUUGCAACUUUAAAUGAAAAUAUGUUGUAACGCCUAUAAAUAGGUUAAUCUCUACUGCAAUUUAUUUAUUCCCUUUCACAUUCAUAUAAUCAUUCAUAGGCGUGCAUUAAUUGUUAGAGAGUCUCAUUAAAUUCAUAUGAGAGAGUAUUCAACACAAUCAUGGUUUAUUAGAAUUUUGUGAUUUGGAGUGAUACUAUUACAAAGACGUGUUUAUGGCAUCCGAAAAGUCAAGUUCCGAUCAACCAUGAGCAUUAUAGUGAAGCGUAAACUUAUUUUAAGGACAAAAUAUCUAACAUUUUGCUCGACAAAUUUACAGGUUCUUCAAAUCCACAUUCAUAUGCAUUAGCAUUGUAUUUUUUUAAUAGUUUGCAAAUUAUUUGGUAUAUAAUUGCAUGAAUUAUUAGUGUGUGUGUGUAUAUAUUAUACCCCUAUUUUUCCAACAAAUUUACCCUGUAAUUUUUUCCUCAUAAUCGUGCAAUGACCAAAUGCCCCUGGAAGGGUAAAUGCUAAAAUUUCAUUGUCUUUCGUGCUUGUGACACGUAAGAAUUAUUCUUUUAACAUUUUUUAUAGUGCUCAUCGAUACGAGUGCGUUAGCACAAGCAAAACGGAUUUGGGAGUUAGGGCUGGUUUGGUAUUGAUGUGCUUUGAAAAAAAACUGCUGUGAGAAUAAACGGUUAUGAUGUGAGAAUAAGCAGCUGUGAAAUAAAUCAGCAGAGUGUUUGGUAAACUUUUUUGUACAAGUACUUUUGAAAAAAAAAACAGUCUGGUAGUGGGUCUUUUCGUUAAAGGAGCAAUGUAGCUUCGUGUGCUUUGAAAAAAAAAAGUCAGUUUUCCAAAGCUGCAAAUAGCUGUUUCAGCUUUUUCCUUUGAUUUCAGCUUAUUCUCACAGCAACUUCCAAAAUAAGCCUUUUUUUUUAGUUUACCAAACACCUAAAACCCUCACAGCUUUUUUUCAUGAGUGCUUUUUUUUAAGCACCUCACUCCCAAACCACCCCUUAAAACGAAGAUUCAACCCUCAGUAUGAGAGGGAGAUACUUUAAGAUAUAAUUCAGGAAUAUUUGGUCAAAGUAUCGAACGUGAUAAAUGAAGGCAUUCUUACACGUCUCAAUAGAGUUGUAUACAACAAGAUAAUCACAUUAGAGGUAUGACAUAAAGUAUCUAUACCCUAAUAAUGUGAUUGAUAGUAUUGAAAGAGAGAAAAUCGAAUUACAUUGUAAUUAUACCAAAAAUGUUCUUCUAUGCAUUCUACUUUGGCUUGAGUAGCCUUAAUACAUGGCUAGAUCUCAACAUUGGCUUGUGGGAACAUCUCGAUGAUUAAAUAGUUUAAUUUUCAAUGAUGGAAGAAUUAAAAGUAAGUUUUAAUUUACUAAGUGAUUAUAUUAAGACUAAUCACUUCACUGCCUGACUAAUUAUAACCUAAUAUAAAUCGUACAUCGAUAUACUAGUGAAUUGGGAUGAUAGUACGAGAUGAAUGAAAUUAAUUGGAUUAUAGUACAGAGAUUUGAUUAAUUAGAGAGUCUCAUAUUAAUAAAUAAAUGAUAAGACAUUAAUAGGGCUUUAAAAUAGUUUGGGCUUUUCAAGCCCGUUGGGUCAAAACUCAUGGGGCAUAAUUUAUGACAUAAGAUGUAUUAAGUGGCAUUAGGCCCAAAAGGCCCCAAUUUCUAUAUAGCGAAAUUGGAAUCCCCAAUUUUUUUUUUUAAUACUUUUUAGAUUAAACAUUAGUUCUUUUAUAAGAUUUGAUUUAGAGGCUUUGAUCAAUUGCCACAUCAAUAUUUUUCUAUUUUUUUAAUUAUUUGUAAUUAGUUUAAAGGCAUCUUCACUUCACCUUGUAACUAAUUGCCGACAAUCUAGGAAAUUUAAUUUUCCUAGUCCUUUAAACUCCUGCAUGUUAAUGACUCUUUCUAUAUAAAAAUAAUAAUUAAUUAGAGUUAAAAUAAGUAAUUAAACUCCUACAUUUUUAAUGACUCUUUCUAAAAAAAUAUUAAUUAAACUAAUUCCUCAUUAUUAGUAAAAAAAAAAAAAGUAAUAAAACUUAUGGGUUGAAAACAAACGAAGUGAAAGUAAAAAAAUGUACCAUAAAUCAAAUAUACCAAAAAUUCAAAUGUACCAAAAACUAAAUGUACAAAAAAUUCAAAUUUAGCAAGAACCAAAUGUACCAACAAUUCAAAUGUACCAAGAAACCAAAUGUGUCACAACCCGUCCCGGAAAUGUACAUUAUUUUGUUAUCGUUGGUGUGAAAAUACUAAAAUGCCCUCGAGCGUUUGUGGCAUCGUGGGACUAGGUGUGGUUGUGGUUGAGGACCAAUGUAUUAAGUCCCUACUAGUUUGGACCCAAUUGGAAGUAAGAAAAUUUUUGGUUGUGAUUGGUGUACACUUUGGAACCACACACUCACAUCCAUACCCUUUCUCUCUCCUCUCCCGUACUCUCUCUCAGACUCACUCUCUCUCUUCCCUCUCCUCCGUACGGACAAGGUCAAACCAAGCCAAAUCAUCACGGAUCGAAGAAGAAAUUUGUACCAUUGUGUUUGUGAGGACCAUACGAGUACAAAUGUACUCAUUUUAGGUAAGAACUCGUUCGAUUUCACGUUGAAAACUCAAGCUCCGAGUUGAACACUAUUCAUGAACUUUCGAAUGGUUGUAUUUUAGGACAAUCCAAGCUCAUAGCGAGCUUAGUGAGGUCCCAAGGAAGCUCGGAGUGCUUCGUUUGAAGGUUUUGGACGUCGGGAUCACAAGGUUCGAAGGUGGCUCGGGAUCACAAGGUUCGAAGGUGGCUGGUUUUGGUGAGAUUUUUCCGACGUGUUUUCGAAGGAUUUGAGGCUCCAAAGAGGUAUAACCUUCUUCCUCUUGAAAUUUGUGACAUUUGGGUGAAGAUUUUGUAGAAAAUGGUGCAAAAACAAGAGGGAAAUGGGCAGUUGCAGGUCUGCCCAGAAUCCGACGGCGGUGGAACUAUUCUGGCGUCUGGAGGUUGAAGGUGAUGCAUGUAAGAGCGCAUGAUGUCGUGCCCUCCCCGGCACGUGAGGGUGCGUGAGCUAUAGGAAAAAUUUUCUAAAAAUAUCACAAUGUUUGUGAGGUUGUGUAGGUCACGUUGGUAUAUUCAUAUACCCGUUUUGAGCUAUGUAUGAGAAGUUAUUAGCUAGUUUUGCCUAUAUGCUUUAAAAUAACGUUUUUAUAAUUAAUUCGCAUAUAGGUGAGACUUAUCCCGAGGACAAGCGUAUCCACGGGCAACUCGGGGGUUACGACCCGUCGACAUAUCAGUGAGUGGGCUUUUGUUUUCAAUAUAUACUUAUAUAUUUGAUAUAUUUCCCAGAAAUGCAUUUUUAGGAAAGUAUGCUUUGAAUUAAUAUGCCAAAGGCUUUUAUAUUCUGAAUAUGCAUUUCAUGGUUGCAUAUAUAUAAAUGUGGUGUUGUGGAGGUAUAGGUAAGUUCAGGUAAGUUAUAUUUGGUUAUGUGGAUCAUCAAUGAUGUGAUAUGUGAUUGAAUGAUGUUGAGCUCAUAAAACUGCACAUAAGGUGAUUGUGAUUUAGCCAAAGAUAUAAAGUACAUGUCUGUUUAUUUACGUCACCUCCCGCACUAUAUGCUCAUAUUGGAUCAAAUUUAAGUGCAUAGUCUUGUCGUACAGACCUUAUUCAUGGUUUCGACUCGUAGGUGACUAGCGAUUUAUCGCCCAGCUAUUAUGAGAGAAUAGAGUUGAGCAUAGUUAUAUUUCACCCAAUCUUGUCGUACAUAUCAUUUUAAUGGUUCCGACUUAUGUGCAUUAUAUUGCCGUAUAGGUCAUAGAAGUGACUCCAGCUAGAUUGAGUUUGGGUUAUGAAUUCAGCCGUACAGACUACCACAGGAGUUCCGGCUAACAUAUCGUAUUUCCAUGAAAUCAUUCUUACCUGAACUAUUUACUUUGUUAUGUUUUGGCAUGGCAUACAUAUGAAUAUGAUUAUGUGAAGCAUGAAUUGACUUGAUAUGAUUUCAGAUAUAUUUUUGUAUAUGAUUAUAUCUUGAUUCUGGGAAAAUCUUAUAUGUUUUACAGCGAGGGGUUAAUAUGUUGAUAAGUGAAAUGAUUUUGUAAAACAUUUUUUUUUGCCCACUCACGUUUUCUGUUUUGCGCCCCUCCAGGUUCUAAGUAAGAUUGAUGUUGGUGGCUCGAGAUCUUCGGCAGUUUUGACCUAUUUGAAUAAUAGUAGGACAUUCCUGGUACUGUGUAACUAGUACUUGUCCUACUGGACUACACCUAAACUUUAUGCUCUGAUUAGGAGUGUUUACUGUGUAACUCCUAUCACUUUCUGUUUAGUAGUGCACACUAGUAAUCUGGUUUUUAAUUAUUCGUUUAAUUGCUAUCAUUACCGCUUCUGCACUGUGCACAUGGCUACAUCACUCUCACGUGACGGCCAGCAUGCCUUGACCUCGGUCGGGGUGUGUCAAAAUGUAUCAACAAUUCAAAUGUACCAAGAAGCUAAAUGUACCAAAAGUUCAAAUAUACCAUAAACCAAAUGUAAUCAUCUUAUAAGUAACCAACGCCGACAUAAUCAAAUGUACCGAUUAACCAAACGUACCUAAAAAUGAGGUUUUGUACAUUCUAUUUGUUUGUACCAUACUUGACCAAUCCCGAAACUACUGAGCACCAGUCAACGUUAUACCGUCAAGGACCCAAAAGAGUUUCCCUCCAACCAGGAGGCCAAUCACAGUGCGACAUGUGUCGACAUCAGAAGCCAAUCAUAGCGCAACACGUGUCAAUAUAAGAAGCCAAUCACAACACGACACGUGCUAAUGUCAGAAUGAAACUAGAAACUCUUUUAUAUAAAUAGAGAUCAUUCUUUCACAAUAUUUCCUAAUGUCAUUUGUACUACAUCAUUCACUAGUACUCACUAAAUGAGAGCUUGAAUCUAUGUACUUGUGUAAACCCUUCACAAUUAAUGAGAACUCCUCUACUCCGUGGACGUAGCCAAUCUGGGUGAACCACGUACAUCUUGUGUUUGCUUCUCUGUCUCUAUCUAUUGACAUACUUACCCAUACUAGUGACCAAAGCAAUCUAGCGAAGGUCACAAACUUAACAUUUUUUGUUGUACCAAAGUCCUUACUGAUUUUGUGCAUCAACAUUUGGCACCGUCUGUGGGAACGACAUUUAUUCCCACUCUUUUCAGCUUUGCCAAGUUGGUUUCCACCAUUCGUAAACUCUCUUUUGACCAGGCAUCCCUUUCCAACAUGGGGAGCGAAGGAAGCCACAACACACAUAAUGACACCCCUCUUGCACCUAGUGCGAAGCAAUGAAAAAAGAAAGGAAAGAGGGUUGCUCUUCAAGCUAAAGUCGAUGAGCUAGAAGCUUAGAACAACAAGAUAGCAAUGCAGAAUGAGGUCCUUUAGAAGCAGUAUGAGAAGCUCUUUGAGACGCUCCACGAAACUAGGCGUACUCAAACACGCGAGCUCGUUGCCCCUGUGGACAUCAACCAUCAUCUGGGUGCCCCCUAACACAGAGGGUCACCUCCCUUCGACAUGGGUAUCCCUGAUGAAGAGCGAGCUAAUCAUUAAAACAUUGAUCAACAUGAGACUUCUUUCAACGCAGAUGCUUCAACCCGAAGUAAAAGAAUCUUAUCUUAUUUGAUUGGGGAGAAUGACUUAAUUAGAUAUAUAAACUCUGUUAAAUAAAUAAACUAAACUAACAGAUGAGAUUGGGCUAAGAAGAUACAAUUCAACGGCUGUUGUAAAACGAGCUCUAGUAAUUUUCGUUUGGAUAGAAGGAUUGGCAAUCGCCGAAAACGAGUGGCUCAUCUCUUUCACUUCCUUACUCCCACACCAAACCCACUUCAAAAAUCCAAACCACCAUCAUGUCCUCCCUGACUACUACUCUUCUGUGUAACCAUGGCCAGCAGCGCCGUCGCACUCUCUAGCUCCACUCUUUGCCACCUCACUAGAAAACCCACUUCACUGACUUCAACACUCAGCUUAAGAAUCAGAGCCAAGGCCUCCACAGCCAUGGCUGCGGCCUCCGCCGCCAAAACCAAGGUGGUACCUGCAGUGAUAGUGGGCGGUGGAAGGGUCGGAAGGGCCUUGGAGGGGAUGGGGAAUGGCUGUGACUUGCUGGUGAAAAGAGGAGAGCCCGUGCCUCUUGAUUUCCAAGGUCCAAUUUUGGUUUGCACUAGGAAUGAUGAUCUUGAAGCUGUUCUUGAAGCCACUCCAAGGCCUAGAUGGAACGGUACUACUUUCUCUUCACUCUUUUUCCAGUUACUGUCUGAGCAGUUUCAAUUGAUUUGUUGAUGGUUUUUUAUAUGAAAUUCAGGUGUUAUCAAUCAAUUUUUUUGUUAAUAUUAUACGUAUAUGAAUUACGGAAGACGUGGCACAAAACUGAGCACAAUGACGUUCUAGGAUUCAUAUAGCCGACCUCACUUAGUGGGAUAAGGCUUUGUUGCUGUUGCUGUAUUAUAUGUAUAUGAAUUGUUUGGUUACUGGAAGUGGAAGUAAGUUGGGAAUUUGAUUGGAUGGGGCUUUUCACUUGUGAUUACAUUCAAACCCAAUACUCUUGAACUAUCGGUUCAUGUUCAUGUAAGAGUGCUUAAUGGAGUUUCUUAGUACAAAGUCAAAAUGCUGAGUGAUGAAUCUCAAAAGUGGACCUUCAUACUGUUAAUUAUUGGAUCCAAAUUAGAAAAUUAGAUGACUGAAUUCUUGGUUCGACUGCUAUGUCUCUUGUAAAUAUGAACUUGGAGUUUUCAUUGACCAAAGCUUGUCCAAUGCCAUAAACCACUAAUUCGGCCUGUGACUUCUAUUUCAUGAAAUUGUUCAUUUGUUUUUUCAGAUUUGUUGAAUUUACUCACUACUGAUUAUAAGAUAUGUGAAAAAGUUAGGAGUUUGUGACCAAAUAUUGCUACCAUUUGUUUGCAGCACUCCCUUGUGCAGCUAUAGUACCACUGUUAGCUUGGCAGUUUAUAAUUCAGGCUGAUAUGAAACUUCAUUAUUUGUAAUGCAAUUUUCUAAACAUUCACUUUCAGUUAAAUUACAUGUCAAUCAAACCUAUAUAACAUGCUCCCCCUCUCCUUGUUUCAAGUUUUGUUGCUUGCCAAAAUUGGUGGAGAAAGGGGGAGAUGUCAGAUUGCAUUCUUCUGUGAAUGGCUUUAACUGGAUUUUUUACUUCACCUAAUUUGCAAAAUUUAUUUUGGAUUUUUGCUUCUUGGUUUGCUUGACCCAAUGGACUUGACAAUCCAGCAGAUUUGGUUUUUUUCCAGAAUGGAAUGCUGGAACCAUGGUUUGAAAGUAAAGUUCUUGGUGAUGCUGACCAAGUCCUAGCAUAUUUUGCUGUCUCCAAGCUUGGAGAACCUCCUGUUGAUGGAAAGACUGAUACCAAUCCUGAAGGACUGACUGCGUCAUAUGGGAAGUGGGCAUUGGCAGUAGCUGAUAGAUUACAUGCUGGAGGCCUCACUUGCAAGGUAAAAGAAUAAUAUCUCCGUAGCAUUUUACACUAAUUUGGAAUUGGCUUUUCUGUUGCGUUAGUCUUUUACUGAUGAAUGAAAAUAUAAAGCAGGUUCUCAACAAGGAAGCAUUUCAGAAGCAGAUGUUAGAGAAGUUGAUCUGGAUUUCAGCAUUCAUGCUUGUCGGAGCUCGUCAUCCAGGAACAACUGUAGGUGGUGUAGAGAAAGUAUACCGCUCUGAGGUAAUCUUUUUUACUUUUAUCUUUUCUUUUAAAGUUGAAAGACUAGAAAAUAAAUGUAAUUCUGCCUUUGGCAUAUUGAUGGUGAAAUAGGAUCUUUGUCCAAAACAAUUUCUACUUCAUGAUUAGGUUGCAGAUUUGGAAAUGCCAUGUACAAAUUUACUUUACCUAGUAUUUGUUACCUUUUGGCUAUUGUAAUUCUACUAUGUAUGGCAUAAUAGCUAGCGAACUGAACUACAAUCAAUGGACGAUGAAAAGAGGGACUAAAUAUUAUCAUAUGAUUGGAAUCUCAUAAGUUGUCUGAACUUAAUGAUGGAGCAACAAUUCCUUGUGUUUUACUUCGUUAUAAACUGGUUUCAUAUCGUUGAUUUGCAACAAUAGCAAUUCUAAGGUUACUUUCUUUUGUAUGUAUUUUUCCUUCAUCAUUAUGCAUGACUUCCUAGUUUUUAUUUAUUUCUUUAUUUCUGGGAAGCAUGACUUUCUAGUAAAAAUAACACCGAGGUUUUGUUCCAUUAACAUGGGUUUGUUACAGAAUACUGAAAGGUUACUAAAAGUAAAUUCUAUUGGGGGUGUGGUGCUGUCUGGAUUUGCUUGGCUUACAUCAAGCCAAACGCAUAAUAAUUAUCAUGGCCAAGGCUGUAACCAGAUUAUUAGGUUGAACUGUAAUUGUCCAAAUACUUGCAUAAGAAUGGACAUCUCUCAUUUCAUUGACAAAGAAGUAUCGUGACACGAAACCACUUUUAGGUUAGCGCAGUAUAGAGUCCAUACUAAAUUUUCAGAGUUAGGGAGGAAGGGGUUGGCUCAUCACAUUGGUUAUGUGUUAAGAAAAGGAACCGAUAAAAACUUGACCGAUGUUUAUGCUUUCAGGUGUCUAGUCUCAUUGCAGAGCUUGCCUCUGCAGCUGCUGCAGAGAAGGGGUUGGUAUUUGAAGAAGCCAUGGAGGACAGAUUAUGUGCAUACUCACGCGCGGUUGCACACUUUCCUACUGCAGUUAAAGAGGUGAGAGAUGCAUGCAAGCCAUAUAGAUGAGUUUUGCAAGCAUAUAUAUAUAUAUAUAUAUAUAUAUAUAUAUAUAUGUAUAACAUAUACGCAUGUGACUCGAAUGUGUUUAAUUUGUUUUCACUGUGGUGAUUGCGUUUUGCUUGCAGUUCAAAUGGAGAAAUGGUUGGUUUUAUUCUCUAACCGAAAAGGCAAUUGCCGAAGGAAGGCCGGAUCCCUGUCCGCUCCAUACGGCAUGGCUCAAAGAUUUGAAAGUUGUCUAGGAAAACAUACUCUACCAUAUCAGUUAUUACUAAUACAAGGGACCAGAGAGAUUGCUUGUCUUCCAUUAUUGAACUACGUGCAGAAAUAAAAUUGAAUUGUUUUUUUGUCUGUUUUACUUCAUUUUGACAAGGUAAUAUUGUAAACUAGGUCAAGGAAGAUUCGAAUUAGGGUUCAAGUAAGGGGCGGGCGCAUUCUAUUUUUCGCUCAGUCAUGCUUAAAACGGGCCUUUACUACACAAAGAAACAUGGCUUGGCAAUGUGCCAACUUCGAUGCUCAUCAUGAAAAAUUUAAGCACGAAUAGAUUUCCAUGUCAUCGCAUAACAACAAUGUCAUUUUAACAAAAAAAUUAUAAUCUUUUUCAAUACUAACACUUGGAUGAUUUAUACUAAUUCGUUUAAGUUGUAGGGAGGGUGAUUUGAAAUUGGGGAGGGACCAGGUAUAAUAAGAGAGCGUGGGACCAGAGUGGGGUAAGUGUGGCCCUCAAAAUUAGGGAGGGUGGGAUUGGUGUGAUGUUUUUGGCCUUGACCCUACGGAACACAUGGUCAGGGUGUUGGAUCUUAAAAUUUCUCCCGUUUGAUGAGUUAUAGUCAUGCAAAUCCCCUUAAAGAAGCAUAGAUUUAGUUUGGUGUGACAAAUAGUUGUAUUAAAGCAGAGAGAAGGAUUUGGAUCUCAUACCUUUGGAUCUAGACUUUAAUCCUAUCCAAGAGUUCCACCAACUUCUUUGCUCCUUGGAGUAUCUCUUCCUAGCUUCCUCCACCUUGAAAGAAAUGGAUAUCUUCUUAAGCUCCACCUUGAGAAAGUCUAGUGAGAUGGAUGAUGGAAAUAACCCAAGAGAGUAGUCCUCUCCCUUAGUUGCCCGGCUGUUUGUGUGUAAAGAGAAAGUAGGUUUUUUUCUCUUUUGUUGUGGUAAUGAAUCAAUAGGCUAAAAGAACUUGAACUACUUUUAAGUUCAACAACGAAGUUAUCGCUUCUAUGGUUAAUUUAGACCCUUUGAUUAAUUAUAUCACUUAAUUAGUCUAAUUAACUAAUUUUAUCAUCCUUUAGUCAUCUCAUUACACAAGUGUAUCAAUGUACAACUGUUUUAGGUUUUAAUUAGCAAGGCAAUGGAGGCAGUGAGGUGAUUGUUGUUAGUACAAUUGAUUAGUAUUUAUACAAUUACUUAGUGAAUUAAAACUUACUCUUAAUUCUUCUGUACAUUGACAACUACAUAAUUAAUUAUCAAAGAGACCCGCAAGCCAUGAGUGAUAUCUAGUGAUGUGUCAUGGCUACCCAAGAUAAUGUAGAAUUGGUUGGAGAACCUAUUAUGUAUGGUUACUUUAUGUCAACCCAUGUGCCAUUCCAUCAUCCUUCUCUACGUGAAUACUCUCAAUCACAUAAUUAGGGUAUGGUUACAUUUAUGUCAAACCCCCUAAUGUGAUCAUCCUAAUUUAUAUGAUUCCAUUGAGACAUAUAGAAAUCUCUUCCUUUAUAACGCUCGAUACUUUGGCCGAAAGUUCCUGAAUCAUAUCUUAAGAGUAUUCUUCCUCUCAUACUGAGGAUUACCUAUUCCAUGUUGAAUAUUCAAAUGUCUUUGAGAAUAAGUAAGUAAUCCUAACAAUGCAUAGAACACAUCCAAGUUGCAAUGUGGUCAUGUUUCAUUGUUAAUUGAUUAGUAACGUACCCCCAAGACAAGUAUGAUGUCUCAGGUCAAAGGAAUACUUGCAUCAUUCCAACUUGUAAAGUUGCUCGACAUGUAUGUAGAAUUCUAUGCAAGUACUCUCGUUUGAUUAUGUUCAGUGAUCUUAUUUUAUUAAUGAGCACCUACACACUUGCCUCAGUAUCCAUAUACAAAUGGUUUGAGACUAGACAUUCUUCCUAUAAAGUAGACUUAAUAUGUACCGGUCUCUCCGGACUAUCAAUGUCUAUGACAAUCCUAUGUCUAGAAACCUUUUAGAACAUAGGGUUAAAGAAAAAAAGGUCCCAAUUGUCUCUUUAGAUUGCUUUUUUCAUUAAUCUAUUGUCCAUGGGAUCCACUAUUUGGACCUACAUAGAUUAAAUAGGAUAGUCUUAAUUAGUAGUGUUGCAUGUUUGUUGUAUUAGUCAUAACUAAUCAUUCUGGAAUUAUCCUAAAAGGUUUCUUCUCAAUAUUGAGUUCAGGGCAUAUCUCAACAGUAAACCUAGUGGGACAAACUUGUAGUUUAAGGAAAAAAUGUGAGUUAAUGCAAGUUGAACAAGUGGCAGUAAAUGCACAUGUCAAGAGUAUGACCAGUAUGAUGUGGAUGCCUUGUUACAACCACAUCAGGUUAACAAAUCCUCGUACCACAUGCCGAGAUAUGGACGAGUUUUCCCAAAAUUCAUCAUCUCAAAUUCAGACUUGGGUUGUGAGUCAGCUUUCUCAAGCUCUAUCUUAGUGAGAUUCAUGAUCACAAUUUAUUUCUCACGUGACUACAAGUAAACCUCCAACCUCUCCAAUUCAUACGCACCACUACCCACUGUCUCUCAAACACAAAAUAACUAAUUUUGCAAAUGGCAUACGAGCUUGUAAUUGUCUACGUUGACUACUACUUCGAGCCUGAGACUGCCUUUAUUUGCUACAACGAGGUAGUGCCUGCUUGUAUUGACUACAAGAAGCUUGAAACUGCUUUUAUUGGCUACAAACUAGCUUGGAUAAUCUCCAAAUGCAAAGGGCUAAAAACUUGAAAUUUAGCCUGCAUUUUUAACUAUUCAUCUACACGAAUAGAUUAAGAUGGGGCGCCUGAGAUAAUCUUCAGGUGUUCGUAAAAUCUCCUGCAUAUAUAGAUACAUAUAUAUGUAUAUGUACGUAUGUAUAUCGUAGUUCUAUAUCUACAACUACAAGGUAUUCAUUUGCAAUUUACGACGGAAAAACAAAAGGCAUAGACACCGCUAAACCAGAUUACUGCAAGUGGCAUAAAAAGUCAUCGAAGCCAUGUCUGUCUCAUGAUCUGCAAGCUCACAGUACAAAAAUUAGGCGAUUAAUACUCGAAAUAUUCAAUAGGUAGAGGAUUAUAUAAGAUGGUAUCAAGACAUGAAAAAUUGCAAUCUGUCAUUAGCUCAGGAAUUAUGUUAUCAUUUACUAGCAUCCUUGAAAGAUGGUAAUGAGACUCACCAAUUUAUUGUCUUUGCUCCAAUAUUUUAUCAUCUACCGGAAAUGUGGGAACUAUAUCCACGGGGACCUAUGCAAAUACGAACAUGUUAGUAACUACACGAAGCGUUGCUAUGAUGCACAGAAUCUUAGGGCAUCUUUUUGGAUUACAGAUUUCAAUUUAGAUUUUCCUUAUAGUAAAAAGAAAAGUAGGGAGCCAAAAACAAACUACAUAAUGCAAAUCCCUGAAUUUUUAUCAAAGCGAAAAUGUAGCUUAAUAAAUGCGAAAUGUCAACUUGAUCAAUGAAAACUGGGAAUAUGUCUUACAGAGAUUUCUGUCCAAUGCACGCAAAUUGCAAAUAUCAGCUUAAUAAUAUGCAUACAAGUGCCUGAACUCUUCAUAUUUGAUCAAUUUUAUCGAAAUAGAUUUUUGUACCUGAAUUUUCUCUAAUUUUUGCAAAACAACUUUUAAUGGGUCUGUCAGUAUGCCGUGUUUCUGAAGCAGUACAUUUACAGCCUCUUUGUCACCUUUUGCUUGUAUGGUGAGUAUCGCCCGACUCAGGGUCUCAACUGCACCUUCAACCUUUUACCAAAACAAAGGAGUAGUUAUAGAUAGCCUUGAUGCGUCACCUUGGGGGCAAAAGGAGGAAAUUUGGAAAUUGAUAAGUAAUACCUUGGUAAAGUCAAUAGAAAAUGUUUCAUCAGGAUUCAAAAUAAAGGCUCCUUGCACAUACAACCAAUUAAAUUGCAAAGCUUGUCCUUUUCUGCAAUUAUAAAGUAUAAGAUACUUUGGAGGCCAAACAUGCUGGAUGGUUACUAUAGCAAUGCCCGCUGACAAGUGAAAAAGUGGACUUGAGAAGGAUGAAUUACUAGCUUACCCAUGAGCUUCUUCAAGACCAAACCGUACUGAGCGGAAGCAUCCAGCAAGAAAAGAAACAUACAUAGACUUCAAUAAACUCUUUGAAAGUAAGUCCUGGAACCAGCAAGAAAAGAGACAUGGAACUUCAUUUAGUAUAAGCACUAGAACACUGCUUGUAUGCCAUUACUAUAUGAAUACCAGUGUCAGUAACACAACUUACAAGAAACAAAAUUUCAUUAAUAAUUAUUAAAAGAAAGGUAAAAAGACUCGAUCGAUCAACAAGAAGUCCAGCAUCAUCUCAAUGAUAACAUAAUUAAAACAAAUGAAAGAUGCAAAUUUGUAAACAAAAAAAAAAAAAAAAGUGUAAACCAAACUAUCCCACUAAUGAGAUAAAGUGAAGGAAAGCAAUCUCAACCAAAUAAAUAGCCACUCACCUUGUCGAUUAGGAACUUCAAGCCCAAAGGCCAACUAUAUCAGCUUUUGCUUCUUCCAGAGUUGAGUGGAGUUCUUGCAGUUCCUUUGUCAAGAGAUGAAAACACAUGGAAAAUCAGAUUUGACAUUAAGAAAACAGUGCACACUUGAUGUACUUAACCUUCAAAAAUUUCCUUCUUUUUUAUUGCUUUUUCUUAAACUGUUUAAAAUGACAUUAGAGGUAAACCAAGAAGCGCAAGAACUUCGAAUAUAAUCUUCAAUAAGACUGACUGUAAAAUAUAGAUGUUUUAAGCAAACUAAAUUUAGGCAACCAAAUAGGAUUUUGCAAGGAAACAAGUUUCAAAGAUGCUGAAAGCCAGAUACCUGUUCUGGUUAUCAACUGGACUUUAACAAAGUGUUGCAGUAAUCUCAAAUAUGUUUAGGUUCUGUCUGUAGUAAGAUAGAGUUAUGAAAUCAACUUCAAAUUUCAAUGUUCAUUGACCAGCAACAAUUGCUAUCAAAUUGACGAUCCAAGUUUAUUAAACUUUCUGUUCUGCUAGAUAUCUUGAACCUUAUUUUGAAGAAUUGUUUAGUUUACUAUUAGCAGCGAAGCAAUUCACAAAGGUUGUCAAACUAAUAUAUAGUGAACAAGAAAAUUAGAUAACUUAUACUGAUGUCACUGACCAAUCUCACUGUUGACUUUCUACCAUCUGGAAGUGUUAUGCUAUGAGGUCUAAUCCCAUGGCAGCACUCAUGGCAAAUUGUGUGAGUGAAGAAAGAUUCAAAAUCUACAAGUUCCUGUUGUUCCUUUGUAAUACAAACAUCAGCUAUAGGCUGAAGAAUGUGCUUGAGCCUGAUUUAGCAAAGGUAGUUCACAUUAUGAACAGAUCAAAAUUUGGAAAAGCAAUAAUGGAUAUUAAUCUGAGGGAAGGAGAGUUUUACUUAGCCUCUGAGAUAUUCUUAAGCAUGACCAUUGAUGUUCCUCGAUCUUUUACUAUACGCUCGUCAUUUGGUAGAUUAAAUGCAGCAGUUUGAGGACCCUUGACAUCCUAAAGGUAAAACUUGAAAGUUGUCAAUGUCACUUCAUCAACCAGAUCAAUUUGCAUAUAUAUUUGUUAAACAUAGGUCAAGAAGACUCUGACCUCCAUGGACUGACUUUAUAACUAAGAAGAAAACUAUUUUAGUAAACCCAACCCACUACUAACUUGUGAUUGGUAUGUCAAACUCAAACCUAAAUAUGAGAAGUAUACAUUUUCAUUUUCUACCCUCCAAACACUAUUUUUCAUUGACUAUUUUCUUCAACAGUAGAGGGUUAGAAGCAAGGAAAACUAUAAUCCCGAUCAUUGUGCCUGUGAUGAAAAAAUUGCAUGUAGCCAUAAAAUAGAACAUCUUGAAAGAUUCUCCUGCAUUAUAAAUAAGAUCGAUGACUUGAAUAGGAGCAUAUAUCACAUCUCUGAACUUGCAGACAUUAUCCAGUGGCAGAUUUUGUUCCAAAACCUUAUAAAAAUAAGGUAACGGAUAAUUAGAAGGAAUAACAAAGUUGUCAGGAUCAUUUUUUUAUUUGGUAAGAUAUUGCAUCUCUGGUAGAAAACGUUUGUACAAUAGUACCUGCAAAUUGUCACCAAAAAGUUUUACUUGAGCAGUUGCUUUUUCAUCUCGAACUCCAACAAAUGCUUCAAAAGUAGCCCAAAAUAAAAGGUAGUUCAAUAACAUCUAAAAUUUACUACCAUGCUACAUCACUUAAAUUCCCAAAUAGGUUCCUUUCAGAAAAAAAAUGUCCAUGACUCCAUAUGCAAGAAAAUGAACAUUAUAAAAACUUUAAGAAACAGAAGAAAUUUAAUUCAAUAUAAUUGUAUUUGCAGUAUAUCCGUUUGAUCACAUUUCAAAAUUCAAAGUCAUAAAUGUAGAAGCUCAAAAACACAAGGGUGGUCCAUAUAAAAAAUACCUUGUAUCCAAAAAGAGCAUCUUCAUAUGUUUCAUAUGGCCCAAUAGUAACAUCCAGCUUAGAGUCCUACAACAGAAGAGUAGAUAGAAACAAAGGCUGGUUCAGCAGUUUAUGCUCUGAAGAAUUUACAGACAAUAAGCAAAUAACAAGAGGAAAACUAGAAAGCUUCCAUUCUUUCACUGUCUCAUCUGCUUGAGACUAUGGUACAGUUUGUUGCGAGAAUCAUGGUUGAGUUUGGUAACUUCAGUCUUGUGUUUCACUAUUUAGUGAGAAACAUUGUGCUUUUGGUGGUGGUAAAAAGCUACAGUUCUGUAAAGUUGUAGUCUGUUGGCAAUUUUUUUGGGUCAUUUAAGAGGGAAAGAAUGGUUGAACAUUUGAAUGCAAGUGUGGGGUGGAAACAUAUUUCUAGUGGAUAGAGCCAAGAUUUGCCGUUAGUACCUCCAGUGGACAGCUGGUUUCGCAUUUAAUGUAUUGCUGUUUACAUUAUAUUAAAAAAGAAAAUUGUGGUCAUUGCUGAAAAAAAUAAUAGUCAACAGGCAGGCAAUAAAAUAGGGAAUUCCAUUUCAUAUGAAGUAACACCACUUACAUCCAGGCAAUACAACUUCAGAAAACUAGAUAUUGUUGUUAAAUUACAUUGAAAUCAAUAAUAAGACCAUAUUGUGUUAAAGAAUUAAGCUGAUUGAUAGCAACUUCGACAUUAAUAAACUAGCUGAUGAAAAUAAUUGUUUAUAGGAACGAAUAACUAAGAACCAACAUCAUAUAACUGAAAUACUGAGCAGAUUCAUGAUUGUAAAUGGUAUAUUAAAUACUCUACAAACCAACUCCAUCCAAGCUAUAUCCGAGUCAUAGUAGUCAUUUGAAAGGAAAGCAUCGGCCUUGCUGUGAAAAAAUCUCUUCAAACUUCAUAGAGAACAAAAGAUUAAGUUAACAUUUGUACAACAACAACAACAACAACAAAGCCUUUUCCCACUAAGUGGGGUCGGCUAUAUGAAUCUUAGAAUGCCAUUGCGCUCGGUUUUGUGUCAUGUCCUCCGUUAGAUCCAAGUACUCUAAGUCUUUUCUUAGAGUCUCUUCCAAAGUUUUCCUAGGUCUUCCUCUACCCCUUCGGCCCUGAACCUCUGUCCCUUAGUCACAUCUUCGAACCGGAGCGUCAGUCGGCCUUCUUUGCACAUGUCCAAAUCACCGGAGCCGAUUUUCUCUCAUCUUUCCUACAAUUUCGGCUACUCCUACUUUACCUCGGAUAUCCUCAUUCCCAAUCUUAUCCUUUCUCGUGUGCCCACACACAUCCCACGAAGCAUCCUCAUCUCCGCUACACCCAUUUUGUGUACGUGUUGAUGCUUCACCGCCCAACAUUCUGUGCCAUACAACAUCGCUGGCCUUAUUGCCGUCCUAUAAAAUUUUCCCUUGAGCUUCAGUGGCCUACGACGGUCACACAACACGCCAGAUGCAUUCUUACACUUCAUCCAUCCAGCUCGUAUUCUAUGGUUGAGAUCUCCAUCUAAUUCUCCGUUCUCUUGCAAGAUAGAUCCUAGGUAGCGAAAACAGUCGCUUUUUGUGAUCUUCGCUAGAUUGCUCCGGUCAUUAGUGUGGAUAAGUAUAUAAAUGGAUAGAGAUAGGAAAGCAAACACAAGAUGUACGUGGUUCACCCAGAUUGGCUACGUCCACGGAAUAGAAGAGUUCUCAUUAAUUGUGAAGGGUUUACACAAGUACAUAGGUUCAAGCUCUCCUUUAGUGAGUACAAGUGAAUGAUUUAGUACAAAUGACAUUAGGAAAUAUUGUGGGAGAAUGAUCUCGUAAUCACGAAACUUCUAAGUAUCGGAGUGUGGUGUCGUCUUGACUUG
rnacentral:lncRNA from 1 species